rnacentral:lncRNA from 1 species
CACCUUUCCCACAAGGCAUCCCCCAUGGUAGUGCCAAAAUGUGGCUACUGUCUCUCGACAAAAUGUUUCCACGGAUGCGGUAUCUGUAAGGUUCAUUGGUAAUGGCGGUCCGAAAAAGUUGAAACCAUCUAUACCAGGCAAAUCUUGAGCCUUAAAUGGUUUCAACGAAUUUGUGCUUAAUAAAUCACCAAUCUUCCUUGUGGCACUAACACAACGAGCAAGAUCCAGCGGAUUUGCAAAGUAGUUGAAGCGGACAUUUGGACCGACUUUGACAUCAUAGGACGACUGCAGCCUAAGCGAACCAUAGGACAAGGGUCCUGGAAUUUUGUACACAAUUUGUCCGAAAGUUGAAUUUAUCUUUGUGGAGAAAGAUGGAUCAGGAAAAACACUAAAUGGUGGAGUAGAAAAUGGUAACCCCGAGAAAGUCUCUAUGUAGAAAUCGCUUGUGAUACCAACAAUCUGUGCACUAGAGGCAUCCAGUUGAAAUGGAGGCAAAAUUGUGAUGUAAUUACGAGGAUUAUCACGCAUAAAUUGUCCAAUGUAAGGCUCGGGGUGAACGACUGGGAUUUUGAUAGAUGAAAGGUAGGACUCUGGGCCAACACCACUAAGUAGCAGGAGUUGAGUGCUUCCAAUUGCCCCGGCGCUCAAUAUAACCUCUCCCUUACCACGUAUGAAGGCCUUAUGUGACCUCCCUUUAGAAUCACUAUACACGAUUCCUCUAGCAGACAAACCUGCAUGGUUAGAAAAGAUUGUAGUUAUUAUCGAAUUAUUGAAAACCGAAGAUAUCAAUUAACUCUUAAUCUAAUGGUAUUUUUCCUGUCAAUGUUCGAAUAUCGUGCUAGAUUAACAAAGAAAUUAAAGUAAAAGAUGCAAAUAUAUGAAACAUACUUGGUGCGUUGGAAGAGAAUAUGAUUCUCUCCACUGUGGCAUGAACUGCAACUCGCAAGUUCUUUGGGUUUCCUAGAUUAAGCAAUUCCACAGCUCCAUGUCUCCUUCCCUGAAUGUCGAAAAGAGUACCCGUGACCUUAGAUCCUGGAAUGUGAUUUAAAUUAUAUCCAUUGUCUGGACGAACACCAGCCUCUAUCAAACCUUCCUUCACAACAGAUUGCCAACGUGACACAUUCGGGGGGGUUAUGAUAGUAUUUUCAACCCAUUGAUAGGCCUUGCUAACCAAAUCCAUGUCCCAUUCAAUUCCUGAGUUUCCGUAAAAUUCUUUAUCGGCUCUAGAGUAUAUACCAAUGUUGAUCAUGCUUGACCCACCAAGAACCCUGCCUCUUACAUUGGCCACACCAUCUUCGGAUGUGAACCUUUCAGCUGGCGUCUUUCCAUCGUCUUCUAGCAUGAGAGUUGUAAGAAUCUCAUCUUGACGCAGAACACUUGGAUAUGCACUUGGAACACUGCCCUUUUCUAGCAGGAGCACCGAGUACUUUGCUGAUAAAGUUGCUGCUAAUGGGCAGCCCGCUGUACCCCCUCCAACUACAAUGUAGUCGUACACUUCUUCUAACGGCAUAUCAGUGGAAUUAUAGACAAAUUUCAUGUAGCUUAAAUCUGCAAAAUACGAAGAGAUGGAAAUAAUUGAAUUGUAUCAGGAGAACUGUUUGUUAUGAUGCUAUUUGAUUUUUGCCAUAUAAUACCAAUAUAUGCUAUCUCCUUUCUGUGUUUUUUUUUUUAAAAAAAAAAAAAAUUUAUUUUGGGAAGAAGAAGAAGAAUUAGAGUGAUACCCUUGAGCCUAGUUAGUAUAUAACCGGACGGGAAAAAGUUUUGAAAAAUACGGUGAAAAUUUAUCUAUUAUGUAAUUUUAUAAUAUUAUUUAUUUCAAUUUAUUAAUGUAUGUUAUUUAUAUUCAAUAAUAUGUGAAAAUAUCUCUAGAAUACGUGAAUUUUUCAUGUAUUAUUAAAAAAUAUAUAAAAAAUACAUGUAAUAAAAAUGUGUAUUUUAUUGUGUAUUUGAUAUGUGUACAUAAAACGAAAAUAUUUUGAAAGAAAACAAAACUUUAAGUACGCGUAUGAUACGAGUAUUCAUAAAGUUUGGGGUUGUUAAAAAAUAUAUUUUUAUGUUUUUUAUUAGGCACAGUAUUUCGAAUACAUAAUUAUGUAAAACAAUGUAGGUAAAGUAUAUUCGUAGGUACAUUGAUAUAAAUGUUAUCACACGAUUCACGCCCAUAAAUACAUACAUACACAUAUAUAUAUAUAUGAAUGUACUUAUAAAUUUGUAUUUGUAUAUUAAAAAUAAUGUACGAAAUAAUAAACGGACUAAAACAAAUUUGUAUCUGACUUCCCUUUUUGUUAAAUUUGUUUUCCAUGUCACGAUUCUUUCCAAAACUGAUUUCAAGAUACAUGAUGAGUUAUUGAGGAAAUAGUGAUUUACCAUGAUCAGAUGGAGUGGCGAAUGAUUGAACCUCAGAUUGAGGAUAGAAGACAGACAGGUACAAAAGAAACAAUGCAACACCAAUUCUUGACUUUUCCAUGUAUUUUUAGCCAGGCUCACGUUUUUUCUCCUGAAAAAUUCAAAAGCAGUUUCAACAGCUUUUCAAGUAACACUAUAGACAAAGACAAAAAAGGAAAAAAAAAAUUUAUUUUUAUGAUUUCUCUAUUUAGUUAUUUCAAAUGCAUUUUAUCUGCAGGAGGGUUUCUAAAUGAUAGUGAGAAUUUAGCCGCAUAUACUCAAUACCAGAGGUUAUCCCACUUCCCCUUGGGAUCCUUCCCUUGUACGUAUAUCGAAAAACAUAAAACAUCAGUCCAAAUUUUUUUUUUUAAAAUUGAACUUUGUUAUAAAGUCCAAAUUAAUCAUUUCCUUUAAAUCACUCAAUCCCAUAAUUGAACAUUAUGAUAUCAACAACCAAAUUGAAUUAGCCAAAGUGAAUUCUUCAUGAACCAGGAGCCUGAUAACACAGGUUAGCAACAUGGAAACACCAGCCACCGAAAUCAUAAUCAAAUACCAUCGUACUUCGAUUUCGAUGUCUCAAACAUACGGAAACAAAAAAAAAUUAUGACGAAAAAAAAAAAACAAAGAAAACCUUAUGUGCAUGCUCACAUUCCUACACAAGAAUUUGUUUUGUAUGUUCAGAAGAACUUACAAAUGUUCAAUCAUAAUAAUAUAUUAUUAGUACUUCAUACUUGCAAUGAAUGUCUAUCGAUGAUCGAAAGAACUCCAUGCACAAUGUGAGCUAGGAUUUACCUUAGAUCUUCGAGGUGAAUCAAACUCCCCAAGCAAAAUGAUAUAGAUCUUCGAGGCCUUGUUACAUAUAUAUAUAUAGGCCAAGGCGUUCAAAAUCAGAGAGAUAGAGUUUGAUUUUAAUAUUAAUUAAGCACCCCGAGUCUUCAUUUACCCAAGACCAAACAAUUAGGCACAUUUUUGAAGAUGGGGUCCAUGUACUUGACAAAAGAAAUCAAAUACAAGGAAGCGAAAAUAUGGCGGGGGCAAGGACAAAAACUCGCAAUGAAAAGUCAAAUGAAUUAUGCACGGUGAAAUGAAACUAUGCAGUUGGUAGUGUCGUCUGGCAAUUUGCUUCUUUAUUUCAAAUUUGGCAGGCCGGCUGCUGAGACGGAAUGCGCUUCAAGGAACAAGAAAAAAUGCAUCCGGAUAAUUUUCAAAUAUUUUAUUUAUUUAUUUUAUUGGUUUAACUUCUAUGAUAGACCUACCAAUAACACAUUUCAAAACGAAAGCGAUGAAAAUUAAUUAAAAAGUAAGAACGUGUAGAAUGAAGAGCCAGAUGAAUGCUGAAGACGUAGUGUCUACGGGGUUAUGGAUAUGUGGGAGGACGUCACGCUUCACGGCAUGAUAAGAAGUGUUGUAGCAACACUUUCUUUCAAACUGCAUUUGCUACAACAUCCAGCAUGCAAACACAAUAAACAAAUAAGCUUUGGGGAUACAAUGAUGCCCUAUAAUACACUGGUUUUACUCUGCAUUGCACAACCGAAAAGUCACCAAACACGCUAAGAAAUUAACAAGGACGUUCAAGAUUAACUACGAACUAAUACUGCAGAAAUUACUUUCUAGUGCUUUCGUUUCUAAGAUGCAAUCGUGAUAAGAGAGAAAUGUUCAUAACAAGUAUCUUUUGAUUUGGUUACAGGUUUUUUUUUGGUGCUGCUAAACGAACCCUAAAAUUAACUGAGUACACCCUAUUAUCUAAGUACACCUUAAUAUUUAAAUCAAAAUGUAAAAUUAACUAAGUACUUCCUAUUUAACUAUCAAAAAUACACUAGUUACACCCUAAUACACUCUAUCACACAACACCAAACUCAUUCAAAAACUGGCUACUGAACACUAUGAGACUACCAAACCCACCUUACUACCAAACACUCCAUCAGACCACCAUAUCUAUCAUCACAAUAGGGUGGAAAAAAUUCAAGCAUCUCAUGAAAUGUCUUCCUAGUUUAUGAAUGUAAAAGGUAACAUAGAUGAAUGUAGGCCUCAUCAUUUGGCCCGCGGGCUCAUGGGCUGAUGGGGGCCCGCCUGGCCCAUUGGAAAAAUGCCCGGUUUGGCCCGUUAUGACUUUCAUCUCGCAUAUUUAUUCAUACCAUCCUUUAAAAAAAAAAUAUCUUUUUGAUACUUAUUAUUUUUUAAAAUUAUUUCUUAAAACGUAUUACGGUCUAAUUAUGUAAUAACCUCAAAAAUAAUAUAAUACUUGGUUUUAUUAUUUUUGUGGAAAAUCUUAUUAAGUUGUGUAACUUUAUUGGGUGUUUUAUGAAUUUGGUUGAUGUGAAAAUAUUGGAAUUAAGUGAGUUUAAUCUCAAAUUUGGAUUAAAUGCCCUUAUGAUUAAGUUUAUGAUUUUUUUUCAAAUGAAGUAAGCCCAUUUCGGCCCGACCCGGUAUUUUCUCUCUCCUCUUUAAAGCCCUGCCUGGCCCGGCCCAAGCCCAUUAAAUUUAGGCCGGGCUAGAUGAAUGAUACAAUUGAUUUUGGGAAAACAUGCCCUCAACCAACCUAAGAUUCUAUCGGAGUCGACUGCGGCAGCAAAGGAACGGUCGGCAUUGAAGGGGACGUAGUGAGCAAAGAAAUGGUGGGUGUGGGUUGUGUUGUGGUAGCGGGCUUCGUCUCGACUGUUGUGGCAAUGGAGGAUUGUAGAGAAAGGAGAGGGGAUGUGGAUGAAUUUCUGAAUUUACCCUCAUUUUUAACAGAAAAUUUAUAGAGUUUGACAGAGGGACUAAUGGUGCAACAAAUACGUACUUGAGUGAUCUCUACAACUAAUAAUUAAAUGUAGUGACCAAACUGUAACUGCAGAUAUAGUUGAGGGACCAUUGCUGUGAAUAACCCUAAAUAAACUGUUACUUGUGGUAAUGUAUGACAAAUUGAAUUUGAUGAAUUCUUUAUGAUGAAAAAUAAAACUAGGAGAUAACCUCUCAGGUUAAACACUUGAAUACAAAAUAUAUCAAUUGGUUAAUUUACUUUAGAAUUGCAGUAAAAAAAAACUUUAGAAUCAUGACUUCCGUAUAAAAAUAAAAUAAAAAUAAAAGGGGAGGUGAUUUUUCCCAUUCCAUUUUUGUCCACUUACCCUCCCUUUUAUUUUUUAAGCUGAGUUAGGCCGGGUUGAGGUUUCAAAAGACUAGGCCCAGACCCGCCCAUUGAGCUGAGCCUAUACGGACUUUUCAGGUCAGGUCAGGCCAAGCCACCGAUGGGCCUAGACAGGCCGUGCCUUUUAUUUUAUUUUUUAAUACUUUUUUGCUAAGUUUUUUUUUAUAGCUUUUUGUUACAAAUUUUUAGAUAACAGGGGACUGAAUUAUUAUUAUUUUUUUUUUAAAAAAGGAAAUAUGGGACUGCAUUAAUUUAAAAAAAGCGGGCUCAAUCGUGCCGAGCUUAAACAGGCUCAACCAAGUCGGGCUGAAGGUUUCAAAACUCAAACCAAGUCCAAUUCAACUUUAGAAUGAGCUGGGCUGAGCGAACAUAACUAUUGAACCUGGCCGAGCUUUGACCUAUCAAACCCAAACUACCCACUUAGAUUCGCUGGCCGCGAGCAAAAUGAUGACCCCUAAGACAAAGGGUGUAGAGGGAAAAAGGAGCCAUAGGUCAUUUGUAUUACUAUUUGGUAAAGUAGAUAAGGCCUUCAUAACGUGUCUAUUGUUUCUUUAAUGGGUCCAAAAUCAACAUAUCCAUUUUAUUUUACGUUCACCUAAUUUUCUUUCUAGUUGGAUGAAUGUCCAUUAUCAUCAUAAGGGUUCUUGUUUUUCUUUUCCUUUGUAAUUAUAUGUCACCGUGAAUUUGAAAAAAGUAUCAGAUCCAUAUUGAUUAAAAAAAAAUAAUAUUUACAUAAUGUUUCAAAUUAUAUACUAUGAGAUAAAUGUGAUAGAUUGCAUUCAUAAUUCAUGUCUAAAGGCCAUCAGUCACUAUCACGCCCUGGACUAGGGGGUCGGUAGAAACCCCGCGCCUAGUGUGUGAGAAAAUAAAAACUAAAAUAAAAUAAAAAGAAAGCCGAGACAUGAGUUUAAAAUAAAUUUCUCUUAUAAAAAUAACUCCCAAAAUCUUACAACUUUACAAUAAAUAAAUACAGCUCUAUUACUCUCAUCUAAUUCAGCCUCAACUGGUUUACUCCUUUUCUUGCCCACUAAUUCAUCUGAAAAAUUAAACAGGGUGAGGGAUGAGCAACCACCGCUCAGUGAAUAGAUUAUGUAUAUACCAGUCAAGCAAUGCCGUUUUACACACUCUAGAAAAUAUCAUGAAAAGAUACACCAAUCCAGAUCAUAUCACAUCAUCACUUCAUAUCUCAGUUAUCCUUCGUAGCAUGUAACCAACCACAUGACCCCUAUUGGCCUUACUGCUGAAAUUGGUACUUAGGUGACGAGGGGUAAAUUUAAAAGAUAUUCAGUCAAACGAUGCAACAAACUUCACACACUCUAGACCUUGGCCAAUCACUCUUAUGACUAGUCAACUAUCAGAUAUGAAUUAUACCAAACAACAACAUACGCAGAGCAUACCAUGAUGUACCUGCAGGCCUAGAGAACUACUAGUGACAACUUAGGCACUCAGAAGACCCAUCAAUCUAGGCAUCCCCUGUGCUAGCAACAACUAUAGUGAAAGUGUGUAAAGACAGCAUAAUCAAGCAAACAUCAAACAGCAGAUAAUGAUGACUAGUCAACCAUAAUUUAUUCCUACCCAGCAAAUCAAUCCAAACCUAUACAACCACCAGCUAGAACUUGAAAAAUGGAUGAGAAACCAUACCUCACCCGUCUGAAAUAGUGAUCGGAGGAGAGAGAACGAGCGACUGGAAGUUCAGACAAGAAUCGGCCUGAAAUCCAUGUUUUCCGGCGACGAGGCGGCGGCUGACGGCUGGAGAUGGGUCGGGGAACGUCGGCGAGGUCUGGCCGGUUGUUUCGGGUCCGGUCUCGCUGCUGGCCGUGGUCUGUGGCGGCGGCUGCGCGAAUUGCAGAUCGGAGGAGGAAGAGAGACGCGGGAGAGAGAGAGAGAGAGAAUCGGGAGGAAGAGAGAGAAAGUGAGGUAAAACUGGAAAAUUUUGAUUUUUACCCUAACCCUUUUCGAAAUAUUUACAAGUUUGCCACUGACACUAUUUUGUCCGUAACUUUUUCGUUACAACCCCGAUUCAUGCCUACCGCAUGUCUACGAAUUCGUCUCGGUACCAACUACCCAGAAAAACCACUCGUGGUCCCAUAAUCCUUCCGAAGAAGAAAGUGACCAAUUUACCCCUAUCUCAAGGGUAAAUUCAAAAUUUUAUUUAAAUCGAUUAAAAUAAACAUUUAAUUUGGAGUCGGGGUGUUACAAUCUACCCUCCUUAAAGAAAAUUUCGUCCCCGAAAUUCACGUACCUGUCACUGGAAAAGAUAAGGGUACUUAACCCUCAUUUGUGCCUUAGGCUCCCAUGUAGCUUCUUCCACAGUUUGGCUUCUCCACAGAACCUUCACUACUGGAAUGGAUCUAGAGCGCAACUUCUGUUCUUUCCUAUCUAGAAUUUGCACAGGUUGCUCCUCAAAUGACAAAUCUUCUUCCAACUCCACAGGUGGAUAUUCUAAAAUGUGAGAACGGUCUGGCAUAUACUUCCGAAGCAUAGAUACAUGGAACACAUCAUGUACUCGAGACAGUUCUGCAGGUAAUGCAAGUCUAUAAGCAACCGGUCUGAUGCGUUCAGUAAUCUCAUAGGGUCCAAUAUAACGAGGGCUUAACUUCCCACGUUUCCCGAAUCUCAUCACACCCUUCCAAGGAGAUAACUUCAGGAACACCCAAUCCCCAACUGCAAAUUCGAGAUCUUUGGACCUAUUAUCUGCAUAACUCUUCUGUCGGUCUUGUGCGAUCUUCAGCUUUUCUUUAAUCAUCUUCACUUUUUCGGUUGUUGCUCGGAUACUUUCCACUUUUUCUAAUUUCUUAUCUCCCACUUCGUUCCAACAAAUAGGAGUCCUACACUGUCUCCCGUACAACGCCUCAUAAGGAGCCAUCUUUAUACUCGCAUGAUAACUGUUAUUGUAUGCAAAUUCCACCAAGGCAAGGUGAGUAUCCCAUGAAUCUUUCAUCUGCAGUACACACGACCUCAACAUAUCCUCCAAAGUCUGAAUAGUUCUUUCUGAUUGUCCAUCAGUCUGUGGGUGAAAAGCUGGGCUGAACUGCAACCUAGUACCCAUAGCUUCCUGCAAACACUUCCAGAAUCGAGAAGUAAAUCGGGCAUCUCUGUCCGAUACAAUGGACACAGGUGCUCCAUGUAACCUCACAAUCUCGUCCACAAAAAGUUUUGCCAACUUUGUCAGAGAAUAAGUUUCCUUAAUAGGUAGGAAAUGGGCGGACUUGGUGAGUCUAUCCACUAUCACCCAAAUUCCAUCAUGUCCCUUGGGAGUAUGUGGAAGCUUGAAAAUAAAAUCCAUGGUAAUGUGUUCUCACUUCCAUUCAGGAAUUGGAAGCGGUUGCAUAAGUCCGGAAGGUUUCUGUCGCUCCGCUUUCACUUGUUGAAAAAUCAAGCAUCUACUUACAUACUUGGCAAUGUCUCCCUUCAUAUGCGGCCAUGAGUAAUAUUCCCGUAGGGUUCGAUACAUCUUGGUGCUCCUUGGAUGCAUAGUGUAAGUGGAACAGUGAGCUUCCUCCAGGAUUUCUCUUUUCAGGUAAUCAUUCUUAGGUACACAUAGGCGAGUUCCUGUUACUAACGCCCCAUCUCCCCUUAUUGCAUAAUCUUUCUGCGAACCACUUUCUACUUCUCCCCUUAUUCUACAAAGUGUUGAGUCUCCCAACUGGGCUUCAAUUAUCCGGUCCACCAAAAUGGGUCUCACAUGCAAACUAGCAAGUAUUCCACCCUGCUGUGUCAUUUCCAAUCCCACUCCAUCUUUCCGCAGUUCCACUAACAACGGAAGAUAUGCCAUUCUGAGAUGAGUCAAACUUCCUGUAGUCUUCCUACUUAGUGCAUCUGCUACCACAUUAGCUCAGCCUGGAUGAUACUCAAUCGUGCAGUCAUAAUCCUUUAUCAAUUCCAACCAACGCCGUUGUCUCAUAUUAAGCUCCUUUUGAGUGAAAAGGUACUUGAGGCAUUUAUGAUCAGUGAAAAUUUGACACGUCUCACCAUACAAAUAAUGCCGCCAAAUCUUGAGAGCGAACACUACAGCGGCAAGUUCUAGAUCAUGAACCGGAUAAUUCUGCUCAUGCUUCUUGAGUUGCCUCGAGGCAUAAGCAAUUACCCGAUCAUGUUGCAUCAGAACACAUCCCAAGCCUCGCAAAGAUGCAUCACUGUAGAUCACAAAAUUUCCUGCAUUAUCUGGAAGAGCCAAAACAGGUGCGGUGGUUAAUCGCUUCUUUAAUUCCUGAAAACUUUGUUCACAUUCUUCCGUCCACUCAUAUGCAACAUCUUUCCUUGUCAACCGUGUGAGAGGUGCUGCUAUCGAAGAAAACCCUUCCACAAAUUGACGAUAGUAGCCUGCCAAUCCCAGAAAACUCCGUAUUUCUGUCACACUGGUGGGUUGUACCCAGUUCACAAUAGCUUCAACUUUCUGUGGAUCCACAUAAAUCCCUUCAGCUGAAAUUACAUGUCCCAGAAAUACCACUCUGUCCAGCCAGAACUGACACUUACUAAAUUUAGCAUAAAGCUGCUUCCUUCUCAAGGUUCUCAAUACCAACCUCAGAUGCUUCUUAUGCCCUUCCAAAGUCUGGGAGUACACCAAGAUAUCGUCUAUGAACACAAUCACAAAGUGAUCCAAAUAUGGUCGGAACACUCUGUUCAUGAGGUCCAUAAACGCUGCUGGAGCAUUUGUCAGCCCAAACGGCAUCACCAGAAAUUCAUAAUGUCCAUACCGUGUUCUGAACGCGGUCUUAGGAAUAUCCUCUUCCCUGAUCCUCAACUGGUGGUAUCCUGAUCUCAAAUCGAUCUUAGAAAAAUACUUAGCACCCCUCAACUGAUCAAACAAAUCAUCAAUCCGAGGCAACGGAUACCGGUUACGUAUCGUCACCUUAUUCAGCUGCCGGUAAUCAAUACAUAACCUCAUGGUUCCAUCUUUCUUCCUCACAAACAACACAGGUGCACCCCACGGUGAAACACUGGGUCUGAUGAACCCAAGAUCCACUAACUCCUGUAAUUGAAUCUUCAACUCCCGAAGUUCAGCUGGUGCCAUCCUAUAGGGGGUUAGAUAAAUAGGGUUGGUGCCCGGAAGAAGUUCAAUAGUGAACUCGAUUUCCCUUUCAGGGGGUAAACCAGGGAGAUCAUCUGGAAAGACAUCAGGAAAAUCACAAACAACAGGAAUAUCUUCCAGAUUUAGGGUGAUCUCUCAAGUAUCAAUGAUAUGCGCCAAAUACCCCUCACAUCCCUUCUGGAGCAACUUCUUGGCUGUAAUAGCAGAAAUCAGACAAGUAGGGAGAACUCUACGCUCCCCACGGAAGGUAACUCUAGGUUGCCCUGGACUUCGAAACGUUACUUCCUUCUUGUAACAAUCCACUGAUGCAUGAUAUUUCUCCAGCCAAUCCAUCCCCAAGAUAAUAUCCAAAUCCACCAAGUCUAAAGGAAUUAAAUUUGCUUCCAACCAUGCAUCAUCUACUUGGACAAAACAAUUUCUGAAUACCCGAUCUGCGUAUAAGACUUCUCCCGUAGGUAGGAAAAUACUAAAGCUCCCUGUCAUAGGUGUGGGUCUAAUACUGACAUACGGUAUGAAAUUGUGUGCUACAAAGGAGUGUGUGGCCCCCGGGUCAAUUAAAACAAGUGCAAGAUAACCAAAAAUCGAAAUCAUACCAGUAAUCACGUCCGGGGUAGCAUAUGCUUCCUGCUGAGACAUAGAGAACACACAGGCCUGAGUAGUGGAGCGCCCAGGUUGACCCCUUGAUUGCCUACCAUCUCUGCCUCGAGAAGAUGACGAUGCCCUACUACUGGAUGACCCCGCUGCAGAGGAAGAAACACCACCUUGAUUCUGAUUCUGACCCAAGAUACCUUGCCCCAGCUGGGCCCCAGUUCCCUGAUUCACUGCAUCAUUCUGGAGUAUAAUUGGGCAGCUUCUCUUAGUAUGCCCCACUUGCCCACAAAAGUAGCAUGUCAAGCUACUACUCUGGCUCGAUCCACCUCCCUGAGUGUAACUGGGAUAAUCCUUCGCAAUAUGCCCAACUUGCCCACAAUGAAAACAUGUUAACCCAGUGUACCUAGAAGGAGCCCUGGCUGUGCUAGCUACAGACUAUGGUCCCGAAUACUGAGUCCAAGCCGAACGAGAACCAGAUCUCCCACUGCUCGAACUAGAUCCCCGUCCUCCUGACCAUCCUCCACUAGCCGAACUGGAACUAGAUCCUCCCCUCUUUGAUGGACCCUGACUGGGCCCACCAAUUCCUGGUGUAUCCCUACGGCGCCUACCCACAUUUCCACCAAGUUUUCUUGCCACCCUUGCCGCUGCCUGAGCCAAAGCCCUCAUAUUUGGAUAGUGUUAGCGGUAACAACUGCCUGAAUUUCCCACCAUAAACCUUCCUCAAAGCGUCUACAUCUGUCUUCCUCUGUAGCCACCAACUCAGGAGCAAAUCUGGACAGCUCAUUAAAUUUGUGUUCAUAUUCCACUACUGACAUAGACCCCUGUUUCAGGUAGAGAAACUCUGACUUCUUUGCCUGUUUAUAAGAAGGUGGGUAAAACUGAUCUGAAAAUACUCGCUGAAAUUCUUCCUAACUUAUGGCAGCCGGAUUUUCAUAACCCCUUUUUACUGCUUUCCACCAAUGAUACGCAUUUCCCUUGAGUAGAAAGGUGGCCAAACGGACUCUAUCCUCAGCUGGACAUUCCAGGACCUCAAAGAUUCUCUCCACAUCAGUAAUCCAUAAUUCUGCUUCUGCCGGAUCUAUACUACCCAGGAAUUCUUUAGCUCCAAGUUCCUUUACUCUCUUAAUUUCCGAACUUUCCGUACCCCGCCUUCCCCGUAAGGCUGUAGCCAUUGUGCGAGUAAACUGGCUGAGCACAUGCCUCAUAUCCAAAGCAUUAUCUCCAGCAGGUGGAGAUGGUGAAGGUGAAGGUAGUGGUGGUGAAGGAGGAGGUGAUGGAGAUGAAGGUGGAGGAUUCGGCCCCCAUCUCUGCCCACGGCCUCUUGUUCUAGCUCUACGAUCUGACAUGAUUCUACACAAAGAAAUCAUGAAAUCAUUAGAUCAACAAUGCAGCAAAAGUGCAAUAGUCGAAGGAAAAUGAACCUAAUGCUCUGAUACCAAGCUGACAGGACCCGCCCCUGAAUUUCCCGAAGACCGAGGCGGACCCCGUCUUGAUCCCGACAUCAUCCCGAUGCCGGGCCCACCUACUAAAUAAUCGAGACUUUCUACCAAAAUUUUGGCAGAGUCUCCCCUGCAAUUUAAGCAAUCCCAACAAAAUUUAUUCAACCUGCAACACACAGUAAUACUAAUCCCAACCAGCAGCAUGCUUUCAUACAUACACAAGUCAAACUAGAGUGGCUUUCGGCCUCACAAAUAAAAUCUACCAUGGCAAUACAGAGCAUCUACUGAAUUUAGAUUACAAGAACAGUUGAGUAGAAGAAUUUACACAGUUCCUAAUUAGAAAGAUGCACCGAUUCCGCUUCGUACACCACUUGCACUUCCAAGAGCAACUACUGGCUGGGGGGCGCAAAACAGAAAACAUGUGAGUGGACAAAAACUAGGUUUGCAGUUAAAAACAACAUAGUAACCCCACCAUGUAAAAUAAUGCUCAAGUCAUGCAGGUUCACAAUUCAAUAAGAAAUUACUCAAAACAUGCUUCAGUAAAACUCAUCUAAAAACAUCAGUUAUCUCUUUCAAAAAGAACCCCAUUCUCUAAAACUCAACACUCCUGUCAACUAUUAAACAAACUCCAAUUCCUUUCACACUCAACUAUACAUAUUCAAUAAAUAUACAUAUAAAUAUAUAUAUAUAUAAAUAACUAUAAAUAGCUAUACGUUAUACUCAUCACACCACCUAGGUACCGGGGAAAACAAUCCAACUGGGGGAUCGUUUGACUAGUCCGCAGGAUUUCCAGGUGCUAUCCUGCGUCUAGGGAUGAGCAGUCCAACCGGGGGACGAAACUCCAAAGCUCCCACACCGGAACAUCCAACGCCAUGUGUAGCUCUCAAACUAUGUCCUACGCGCGCAGACUGGAUCAUCACACAUCGGAACAUCCAACGCCAUGGUGAUGACCCUAAACUCUAUACACAGUCUUUCCGUAAGCCGGAACAUCCAACGCCGCAUACGGAAAGUGUCUCACCCGCCGGAACAUCCAACGCCGCGAGUGAGACUAGUAACUGGGGAAGGUACUUACGUAGUGUAAUCCCAUAAUUCCUCUCUAAUCACAUUCUUCCAUAUCACCCUCCAACAACCCAAAUAUCUCCUCUAAAAGAAUACAUAUCAAAAUAUACUUCCCCACAAUCUAUACAUGAAAUACACUCUCAAAACCCAAAAGGCCAAGCUCAUAAUAUAUUGCCAAUUGCUAUACACCCAUCAAAAUUAAUCCAUGCAUGUAAUAUAUAAAAUCCAGGAGCCAUUAAAACAUUAUGCAAAAUCUUUCAUUAAUUAAAACCAGACAUAUGAUUAAAACAAAGUCCACUCACAAGUAUUCCCUUGCUGCCUGACCACGUGAAGGUCCUGCUUGCUGCGUGCGUGCAGUCGAAAUACCUAUUUCGAAAUACGAACCGUUAAUUAAUAUAAAAACCACGUCUAAACGGAAAUUACAAAUUAAAUGCUUAACUCCCCAAAUUCCCAUAUGUGCUCGUUGAAGAAGGUAUCCUAAAGUCCGAUUACAGGUUUAGGAAGCGUUCACGAUUUUCACGGUUAUCGCUAACCCGCAAACUUUGCAUCAUUGAAUCGGAACAUCCGGGGCUCCGAUUCAGAAUUCGUGAAGUCCCAUACGGUCCUAGGAAUACCUAGAACAACAUAUUUUAAUUUGGGAAAGAUCUAACGGUCGGAACCUAUCGAACCCGGAUAACGCACAAUAUGCGAAAAUCCGUUCGAUAGCCAAACGACAUCCGAAUCGAGAUCCGCGAAUUCCUAUGCGCUCGUGACAACCUAAGGAUCUCAUCGGGUCAAUUUACAUCCUCGCCAGCGCGUGGGUGUGCAGAGUAAUUCCGGUGACGGAAAAACUCCACACCCGAGCUCACCCUUCCUACCCUAGCUUCUACUCGAGGUCAGGAUCACUUCACUCAACUACGAGAAGCUCCAAUUCGGCCGGCAACUGGCCGGAAUUCCAUUUUGAAAUUCGGCCCAAAACCUAGGUUUCCAAAUCGAUUCCUACCCAGCAAAUCAAUCCAAACCUAUACAACCACCAGCUAGAACUCGAAAAAUGGAUGAGAAACCAUACCUCACCCGUCUGAAAUAGUGAUCGGAGGAGAGAGAACGAGCGACUGGAAGUUCAGACAAGAAUCGGCCUGAAAUCCAUGUUUUCCGGCGACGAGGCGGCGGCUGACGGCUGGAGAUGGGUCGGGGAACGUCGGCGAGGUCUGGCCGGUUGUUUCGGGUCCGGUCUCGCGGCUGGCCGUGGUCUGUGGCGGCGGCUGCGCGAAUUGCAGAUCGGAGGAGGAAGAUAGACACGGGAGAGAGAGAGAGAGAAUCGGGAGGAAGAGAGAGAAAGUGAGGUAAAACUGGAAAAAUCUGAUUUUUACCCUAACCCUUUUCGAAAUAUUUACAAGUUUGCCACUGACACUAUUUUGCCCGUAACUUUUUCGUUACAACCCCGAUUCAAGCCUACCGCAUGUCUACGAAUUCGUCUCGGUACCAACUACCCAGAAAUACCACUCGUGGUCCCAUAAUCCUUCCGAAGAAGAAAGUGACCGAUUUACCCCUAUCUCAAGGGUAAAUUCGAAAUUUUAUUUAAAUCGAUUAAAAUAAACAUUUAAUUUGGAGUCGGGGUGUUACACCAAUUUCUUCAAGAAACCAUACUCUUGAAGAAAUCAGUAGUGAAUCUGAUCUAGAUAUUAAUGAGAGAAUGUUUUUAUAAAGCUAGUUGCAUAUUCAUAUUUCAAAUGCAGUUUUUUCAUAAAGAUAUCAAUUUGGAAAAACUCAUAGAUGAAAUAUUGUUCUCUCUUGAGGAGGAAGAACGGAAGGAUCGAAAAUCCAAUCUUUCCUCAAAAAUCGACACAAAAGAGACGCCGUUUCCAAAACGAAAUCGCAAGGCCUAUACAGACCAAUAUAUUCCCUUAGGUCAGAAAUCCCAUGUGGCAGUAGAGAGAGAAAAAAGGAAUAGGACAAAAAGUUGGUUAUCAAGCUGGAGAGCAAGGAUGACUAGUCAUCCAAGAAACAGAUGACUAGUCAUCAUUUUAUGAAAACAAUAUGAUGCAAUGUUAUGCAAUGCACAAUUUACCUUUGCCAAUUUGCAUGAACCUCCAUAUGAUAGUUGUUAGUUAAGAACACCUAGAGAAGCUAUUCUUAAUCUAAACUUGAGCUUGAUAAAUAACAAUAGAAAUCCUAUUACAAAGUUGUCAAGGGAAGCCAAAAGAAUAAAACAAAAUGCAUACAUUAACAACUGCCCUAUGCCCCCGGUUGGUACCUCUAUCCCUCGGAUACCACAACAUUGAAGUUCUUAUGUUCCGUGAAUAAUACAUACUUCACAAAUAUUCUAGUCAAUAUAUAUAUAUAUAUAGUGUGUGUGUGUGAAAGAUUGCACCAAAUUAGACAUGCUUGACUUGAAAUAGAGAUAUAUUUAUAAAUAGAACAAAUCCAUGAUAAUUCAUAAUUUUCAUAUUUUAUCACAAAAUAAGAAGUUUUAGACACAUUAUAUAAACCACUCACCUCGACAAUGAAAGCCCUUAAAAUAAAUUGGCAAGACAACCUAUUUACCUAUCUCGUCCAAUAUCAAAUUUCCUUACAUCUCUCUCUCACGUUGCAUGAACUUUCAUGCAAUGUUAAAUGCUUUCAAAACCAAAGGAAACAUCCUAUUUAUAGUAAUACUCAGGAGGAUUCAAUUUGUUCUAAUUGGUGGGGAGGUGAUGACCACGUGGGAACUUGGUCUCCUAAGCUAUCAUCAAAUUGCCAACACCUCAUGCUAAAUAAAGCUUAGUCACCUCAAUAGAAUGACACUUGGAGUCUAAAGUUGUUGUAAAAGUCUUGGUAUGGAGCCCACUAACUAUUCAUUACUGUUCAUUACUGUUCAUUUGGCGGCUUUGAUAGAGUUUGUCUGUCACGGGUGAACAGUGAUGAAUAGUGAUGAAUAGUGAUUAUUUCAGCCUAUAAAUAAGAAGAGAAACGGAAAGAAGAAGUAAGAAAAAAAGAGAAAGAAAGAGAAAGAAAGAAAAGAGAGAAGAGAAAGCAGAGACAAAUUCUCCUAGAGAGAAAAUUCAGUGAGCCACAUAUGUUGUAAACACUAAAGUUGUAGCCAUAUUAUUUUAUAGUGAAAGGUUACUGCUGCUGCUCUCCGAGGACGUAGGCAUAGCCGAACCUCGUUAAAAGCUGUGUCUUAUCUAUUCUACGUGCAGCUCAAUAUCCGCAUAUAUUUCAGGUUAUUUUAUAACACGUUAUCAGCACGAUAGUCUCUCCUUUUAUUUCUGAAAUUUUUCCAACUCAACACUAUAUAAUAUACUAUAUCUAUCUGCUUUUCUAUUACUAACCAUUAACAAAAAUGGACCCUUGGUAAUACUAAACAUAUUAUCAGUGGGAGACCGUUACUAAUACUAACUUUUUCUUAUUUUAUUCGGUGGUGGUUUUAACCCCACAUUUAAUUUUAUUUAUGGUAUGGUGUAGGCUUAUUACCCAUACGGCAAUAUUUAUUUAAAGGGUGGUGCGGGUUUAUCGUCCAAGCCUUUACUUUUAUUUAAAUGAAUGGAGCAGAAUUAGUGCCCAUACAAGCACAUUUACUUUACCGCACAUUUACUAACCAUUAACAAAAAUGGACCCUUGGUAAUACUAAACAUAUUAUCAGUGGGAGACCGUUACUAAUACUAACUUUUCUUAUUUUAUUCGGUGGUGGUUUUAACCCUACAUUUAAUUUUAUUUAAGGUAUGGUGCGGGUUUAUCGUCCAUACCAGCAAAUUCAUAACACUUUACUUUUAUCAUCAAUUAAUAUACCUGAAUAAUGAGGACAUGAAAUUCCUAUUAAUAAGUGGCUUAAUAUUCAAUUAAUAUACCUGAAUAAUGAGGACCUGAAAUUCCUAUUAAUAAGUGGCUUAAUAUUCCAGAUCUCGAGCCUAAAGUUUUGGAUGGCAAAUUUGGCAAAACUAGAGUUUGCUGCCUUGGACCUUUCCGGGGACAACUAUUUAUCAUGGGUCCUGGAUGCCAAAAUUCAUCUACGAGCCAAUGGCCUCGGACAAACAAUUGUAGAUGAGAAUGAUGCUUCGCCUGAAGAGAAUGCAAAGGCCAUGAUUUUUCUUCGCCGCCACAUCCAUGAAGCGCUGAAGAGCGAAUAUGUGGUGGUUGAUGAACCGUUGGUUCUGUGGAAAGCUAUAGGUGAAAGAUACGAUCACCAGAAGACGAUGACUCUCCCAAGAGCUAGAUACAAAUGGACCCACUUGAGAUUUCAAGAUUUCAAGUCAGUGUCCGAGUAUAACUCUGCUAUGCACAGAAUUACCUCAUUAAUGAGGCUAUGUGGGGAAAAUAUAUCUGAGGAGGAUAUGCUCGAAAAAACUCUGAGCACUUUUCAUGCUUCAAAUGUCCUCCUUCAACAGCAAUACAGACAUAGCAGUUUCAAGAAGUACUCGGAACUUGUAUCUUGCCUCUUGUUAGCUGAGCAGAAUAAUGAGCUCUUAUUAAAGAAUCACCAAUCUCGCCCAACGGGCUCAGCACCACUUCCUGAAAUAAAUGCUGCAUCUCAGGAGGUGAAUGCCACUUCAUCUCGUGGCAGUAUCCACAAACGUGGGCGAGGGGGCAAGCGUGGCCACUGGCAAGGAAGUAGAAAAAAUCGUGGUGCUCGUUCAGAGGAUUUAGGUCCAAGGAGCGGUCCAUCCAUGAAUGGCAAAAAUGCAUCCCGUAAUAAGGGAAAGGCACAGAUGAGCCAUGUGCCUAGAAAUGUUGAAAGCCCUUGUCACAGAUGUGGUGCAAGGGGACAUUGGAUGCGCGCAUGUCGUACGCCCAGGCAUUUGGCGGAUCUCUAUCAAGCUUCACUUAAGAACAGGAAAGUGGAGAUAAAUUACAUUGAUCAUGCUCCGCCAGCCACAGAUGGCUCAUCAGAAAUAUCACGUAAGCUAAACAAGACGCAUCUAGAUGUUUCUGAUUUUGUUACUGAAAAAGGGAAUGAAGGUUAUGAGUCCGAAUUAGAUUAAAUUCCUUAAUGUACUAUUUGUAUUAGCUGAAGUGUUGUUUAAAUUUCAAUCCAAUAAAAGUGGUAAUGUUGUCUUCUUUAUUAAGUCCGAAUUAGAUUAAAUUCCUUAAUGUACUAUUUGUAUUAGCUGAAGUGUUGUUUAAAUAAAAGUGGUAAUGUUGUCUUCUUUAUAUAUUCCAGCUCAUUUUACUUAUUUGGUGGCAUGGAUGUAAAUUAUGGAUGCCCUCAAAACAAAGGCUAUGGCAGAGAUAUUUGUCUCGCAGACAGCGCAACUACUCAUACGAUCUUUCAAGAUCGGAAGUAUUUCUCAAAAUUAAUACUUACAAAAGCAAAGGUAACAACCAUAUCAGGUCCUGCAGAUCUGAUCGAAGGUUCAGGAAUAGCCCAAAUUAUGUUACCAAAUGGAACAAUAUUGUCCAUUCCAGAUGCUUUGUAUUCAUCUAACUCCAGAAGGAAUCUGUUGAGUUUCAAAGAUAUACGUUUGAAUGGCUACCAUGUUGAAACAAAGAAAGAGGAAAACAUGGAAUAUCUUUGUAUUACCUCCAGUGAUACCCAAAAGCGUAUACUGGAAAAGCUUUGUGAGCUCUCAUCAGGGUUGUAUUACACAACCAUACGGACAAUUGAGGCACAUAGUGUCAUGGACCAAGAGUCUACUGACUCAAAUGCUUUUAAGCUUUGGCAUGACAGAUUGGGUCAUCCUGGAUCCACCAUGAUGCGCAGGAUCAUCACCAACUCUAAAGGACAUCCCUUGUUGACUAAACACAUUAUGUUAUCAAGCGACAUCUUUUGCCAAGCUUGUUCACAAGGGAAGUUGGUGAUCAGACCAUCACAACCAAAGGUUGAUGUUGAGUCUCCAUCAUUUUUGCAGAGAAUUCAAGGGGACAUUUGUGGACCCAUUCAUCCCCCAUGUGGACCAUUUCGGUACUUUAUGGUCUUGGUGGACGCAUCUACCCAAUGGUCACAUGUUUGUCUUUUAUCUACUCGGAAUAUGGCAUUUGCUAGGCUUUUGGCUCAGAUAAUUAAAUUACGAGCCCAAUUCCCAGAUUAUCCCAUUAAGUCAAUCAGACUUGAUAAUGCUGGUGAAUUUACAUCUCAGACUUUUGAUGACUACUGCAUGUCAUUAGGCAUUGAUAUUGAACAUCCUGUUCCCCAUGUGCAUACUCAAAAUGGCUUGGCAGAAGCUUUAAUUAAACGCCUUCAAUUGAUAGCACGCACUUUGCUAAUGAAAACAAAGUUGCCAGUUUCUGCUUGGGGAUAUGCCAUUUUACAUGCAGCAUCGCUUGUGCGAUUGAGGCCAGUCGCCAAUAAUCAAGGUUCUCCAAUACAACUCGUAUUGGGAAAUCAACCAAACAUUUCACAUUUAAGAAUUUUUGGGUGUGCGGUAUAUGUGCCUAUUGCACCAUCGCAACGUACUAAGAUGGGCCCUCAACGCAGAUUGGGAAUUUAUGUUGGUGUUGAUUCACCAUCUAUCAUCAGAUACUUGGAACCCCUGACGGGUGAUAUUUUUACCGCACGAUUUGCGGAUUGUGAUUUUGAUGAGACAAUCUUCCCACCUUUAGGUGGACAAAAAUCUGUGUCUAAAUAACAAGGCAAACUCAUUCCUGAAAAAUGACAUGAAUUAUCCUGGAAUGUAUCCACAUUGUCUCAUCUCGAUCCUUAUACUGCUCAAUGCGAAAACGAAGUGAGAAGGAUCGUUCACCUCCAAAGUAUUGCAAAUCAGAUGCCAGAUGCAUUUAAUGAUGCAGCAAAGGUGACGAAAUCUCAUAUCCCAGCUGCAAAUGCACCCGCACGGAUUGAUGUCCAUAAUGGACAAAGCAAUGUGCCAGCAAAUGGUUCAUCUGCUGCACGCCUAAAACGUGGCAGACCACUAGGCUCAAAGGAUUCAGUUCCUCGAAAGAGGAAGUUGAUGGACAAAAUGAAUCCAAAUGAAAUAAAUAGAGAGCCCACAAUUCAUAAUUCAAAUGCCCCCAAAGAGGGACAGGUACUUCUUGACAAGGAAAACGUCAUUGGUGAAACAAGUGCCCCUGGAGUGGCAACCGUACCUGAAAGUUAAGAAAUCUCCAUAAAUUAUACGUCCACUAAUGAAUUGUGGAGUAGAAAUGAGAUGAUCAUCGAUGAUAUAUUUGCAUUCUCAGUGGCUGCUGAAAUCAUAAAAGAUGAUGAUAUUGAACCACGCUCUAUUAAUGAAUGUACACAGAGGCAAGAUUGGCCCAAGUGGAAGGAUGCAAUCCAGGCAGAAUUAAAUUCUUUGAAAAAGAGGAGUGUUUUUGGACAUAUUAGUCCAACUCCACCCAAUGUGAACCCUGUAGGUUACAAGUGGGUAUUUACAAGAAAGCGCAAUGAGAAAAAUGAGAUUCAAGGUAUAAAGCGCGACUCGUUGCGCAAGGUUUUUCACAAAGGCCUGGAAUUGAUUAUGUGGAAACGUACUCUCCAGUAAUGGACACAAUUACAUUCCGUUACCUAAUAAGUUUGACGGUUUUAGAAAAACUUGAAAUGAGACUCAUGGAUGUAUGGAGAAUUGGAUACAGAUAUAUACAUGAAAGUUCCAGAAGGAUUCAGGUUGCCUGAAGCAGCCAGAAACAAACCACGGGGCAUGUUCUCAGUUAAAUUGAGAAGAUCAUUAUAUGGGCUAAAACAAUCUGGACGAAUGUGGUACAAUCGUCUCAGUAAGUAUUUACUGAAGGAAGGAUACACAAAUGAUCCUGUUUGCCCAUGUGUGUUUAUUAAGAAAUCAAAGUCUGGAUUUGCGAUAGUGACAGUAUAUGUCGACGACAUGAAUCUAAUUGGAACUUCUGCAGAGCUUCAAAAGACUGUUGAUUAUCUCAAACGUGAGUUUGAGAUGAAGGAUCUUGGAAAGACAAAAUAUUGUCUUGGCUUGCAGAUUGAGCAUAGUGCUAAUGGAAUUUUGGUGCAUCAAUCAACUUAUACUGAGAAAGUAUUGAAACGGUUUGGCAUGGAUAAAGCCCAUCCACUUAGCACUCCAAUGGUCGUUCGAUCGCUUGACACUAAGAAAGACCCAUAUCGUCCAAAAGGGAAUGAUGAAAUGGUCCUUGGUCCAGAAGUACCAUAUCUUAGUGCAAUAGGUGCUUUAUUGUACCUAGCACAAUGUACCAGACCAGACAUAUCAUUCUCAGUAAAUCUGUUAGCAAGGUACAGUUCUGCUCCAACAAGGCGACACUGGACCGGCAUCAAACAUGUUCUACGAUACCUUCGUGGGACAACAGACAUGGGGUUAUUCUAUUCCAGUGAAUCGACCAACGCCCAGAGUAUUAUUGGUUAUGCUGAUGCAGGAUACCUCUCUGAUCCACAUCAAGGACGAUCACAGACUGGGUAUGUAUUUACAUGUGGAGGAACUGCGAUCUCAUGGCGCUCAACAAAACAAACAUUAGUGGCCACAUCUUCCAAUCACUUAGAAAUACUUGCCCUCCAUGAAGCCAGUCGUGAAUGCGUUUGGUUAAGAUCGGUAAUCCAUCACAUCCGAAGCACAUGUGCCCUACCCUCAACAACAGACACUCCAACAAUUCUGAAUGAGGACAAUGCAGCUUGUAUUGCUCAGAUCACAGGAGGAUAUAUCAAGGGUGACAGGACCAAACACAUAUCACCAAAGUUUUUCUAUACACAUGAGCUCCAGAAGAGUCAAGAAAUCAAAGUCAGACAAAUCCGCUCAAGUGAUAACCUGGCAGAUCUCUUCACUAAAUCAUUGCCGAAAUAUACAUUCCAAAAGUUAGUACAUGGCAUCGGAUUACGACAACUCUGCAAGCAAUCAAGUUGGAGCAUGCAAAAUCAGGGGGAGCAUUCAAGAGUCCUCUAACAUAGGACAUAUGCACGUUGUACUCUUUUUCCUUCGCUUAGAUUUUCCCACUGGGUUUUUCCAAGCAAGGUUUUAAUGAGGCAACCAAUCUAGGGACAUGUGGUCUCCAAGGGGGAGUGUUGUAAAAGUCUUGGUAUGGAGCCCACUAACUAUUCAUUACUGUUCAUUACUGUUCAUUACUGUUCAUUUGGCGGCUUUGAUAGAGUUUGUCUGUCACGGGUGAACAGUGAUGAAUAGUGAUGAAUAGUGAUUAUUUCAGCCUAUAAAUAAGAAGAGAAACGGAAAGAAGAAGUAAGAAAAAAAGAGAAAGGAAGAGAAAGAAAGAAAAGAGAGAAGAGAAAGCAGAGAGAAAUUCUCCUAGAGAGAAAAUUCAGUGAGCCACAUAUGUUGUAAACACUAAAGUUGUAACCAUAUUAUUUUAUAGUGAAAGGUUACUGCUGCUGCUCUCCGAGGACGUAGGCAUAGCCGAACCUCGUUAAAAGCUGUGUCUUAUCUAUUCUACGUGCAGCUCAAUAUCCGCAUAUAUUCCAGGUUAUUUUAUAACAAAAGUGUGUUUGUAAAAAAAUAUCUAGGUCAUUCAACUUGGUCAGAAAGAAACAAAGAAAUAAUAAAGUUGUUAAAAGCAAUACAUAUACUUCUUUAUAAUAUUACUACUAUUUUUUAAUAACUAAUAAGAAAAUCUAAAAAUAUAGAAUGGCACUUAGAGUCUAAAGUGUGUUUGUAAAAAAAAUAUCUAGGCCAUUCAACUUGGUCAGCAAGAAAUAAAGAGAUAAAGUUGUUAAAAGCAAUACAUAUACUUCUUUAUAAUAUUACUACUAUUUUUUAAUAACUAAUAAGAAAAUCUAAAAAUAUAACACGUACCAAAACAAUUAUAUAUAUAUAAAUUAUAAACUAAAUAUGUAACAAAAUAUUUAAUUUCUCAAAAUAUAAUAUAUCUAUUAAAAAUACAAAGUUUCACACUCACAAAGGCCAAUACAAAUAUAAAUAACCACAUAGGGUUAAUACAAAUACGUAAGCACAAUAACCUCAAAGAAUUAUCUAAAUAUGGAGGAUUCCACUAGCAAUUGUAAGUACACUAGGUGUACCUCCACUCAUAACCACAAAACACCAAAAAAAAUCAGGCAAAAAAGUCACAAGCCUAAAAAAACCUGACAAAAACCUCAACAACGAAAACUACAACUACAACCGUUAAACUCUUACAAGUAGAACAUACAAGUAGAAACUACAAAUAUACAACACACUCAAAAAGAGUUCAUAGCCAGAAGCCUGGACUAACCCCACUUUAUUUAUUUAUUUUUAAAGGCAUAUUAUACCAACAUACUUAAGGAUGAAAACAAAAUGUUAACAUCAUCCCUCGCAAACUUCUCCUUCUUGCAGUACCUCAAGGCCAACAUACCUACAAUAGCACAAAAAAGUUAGAGGGAUAAAAUUAGCAACAUGUCACAUAGUUUUAUAACAAAGCCAUGCAACCACAUAAUUAUCAAGAAUUUCUUGUAUAUUUAAGUGUGCAUAACUUACCUGCCUAACAUCAUUAGAGUAGCCUGAGGAUUGGUUCCUGGUGAGAAAUUGAAUGUGGAUCCAUCAACAACAGGUAAUGCAUUGAUCCCCAUGACCCGCAAACGUCCAUCAACCACCUUUCCCACCAAGCAUCCGCCAUGGUAAUGCCAAAAUGUUGCUACGGUGCUUCGACAAAAUGUUUCAAAUGAUGCAUUAUCUGUCUGAUUUACUGGUAAAGAUGGUCCAUAAAACUUGAAACCUUCUGUACCAGACGAAGAAUUAGUCUUGAAUGGUUCUAAUGAAUCUGUCUUCAAUAAAUCACGAAGCUUCCUCAUGCCACUAAAACAACGAGCAAGGUCCAUCGGAUGUGUAAAAUAGUUGAAGCUGACAUUUGGAAUAAUUUUCACGUCAAAAGAUGAUUGCAGGCGAAGGGAACCAUAAGACAAAGGUCCGGGUACUUUUGCAGCAAUGUUUGCCAAAAUCAAGUAUUUGGGGUUAGCUGGUACGUGAUAAGAAAGUGUCUCUAUGUAGAAAUCACUUGUAAUUCCAACUAUCUGUAGACUUGACAGAUCCAGUGGAGAUGGGGGCAAAAUGAUAAUGAAAUUCCGAGGAUUAUCAUACAUAAACUGUCCAAUAUUCGGUUGAGGAUGGAUAACUGAGAUCUUCAACGAUAUGAAAGAUAGGACACUGGACCAACACCACUAAGUAGCAGAAGUUGAGGGCUUCCGAUUGCUCCAGCACUCAAUAUAACCUCCCCCUUAUUAUGUACAUUUGCCCAAUGAGUCUUCCCGUUAGAAUCACUAUAUAUGAUUCCUAUAGCUGACAAACCUGCGUUAGAUAGUAGCUUAUAAUUAGUGAGUUGUUAUUCAGACUCCCAAAAAGACAUCAUGCAUUAGUUUUAUACAAAUUCAAAGAAAGAGUGAGUGAUCCAUGAGGACUUAUUGCAUGAUGACUUUUCUGGAGCGUGAAUAACAGUUCCCUAUGGUCAACAUCAAACACUGUGAAUGGAACAUAUAUAUUAUUGCUAACCCUACAAGUGCAUCAUAUAUACUUAUUGAAUUGGAAGAGAAGAUGAUACUCUCUACUGUGGCAUGAACUGCAACUCGCAAGUUCUUUGGCUCUCCUCUAUUAAGCAGUUCCACAGCUCCAUGUCUCCUUCCAUGAUCAUCGAAAAUUGAUCCCCCAACUUUAGUUCCCUUGAUGUGAUCCAAACUAAAUCCAUUGUCUGGACCCACGCCAGCCUCCAACAAUGCUUCUUUUACAACAGAUUGCCAAGUUUCCAAUUUCGGCUGGAACACAAUAGUGUCUUCCACCCAACUAUAGGCCUUAUCAACCAAAGCCAUGUCCCAUUCAAUUCCUGAUUGCGCAUAGAAUUCCUUUUCAGCUCUCGAGUAGAAACCGGCAUUGAUCAUGCUUGACCCACCUAAGACUCUGCCUCUUGCAUUAGAAACACCAUCGUCGGACGUGAACUUUUGAGCUGCUGUCUUACCAUCAUCUUCUUGCAUGAGAUUCGUCACAAACCCUUCUUCACGCAAAACACUUGGAUAUUCGAUCAGAAUGCUGCCCCUUUCAACAACAAGGACUGAGUAGUUUGCUGAUAAUGUUGCUGCCAAUGGGCAGCCUGCUGUUCCUCCUCCUACGAUAAUGUAGUCAUAUUCCUCUUCCAACGGUAGAUCCGUGGCAUUGAACACAAAUUCCAUGUAGCUAAAAUCUGCAAAGUUCGAAUAGAUGAAGAAAACCUAAAUUAUAUCCAACAACAAGAUCAACAGAAGCAUAUAUCCAUCUGCUUCUACGUUGUUUCUUACAUUUUAUUUUUUAUUUUUUAUUUUUUAUUUUUCACGUCCUUAAUUAUAUCCAACAACCAGUGACCUUUAAUAAUAAAAAUGAAGGAUAAACUAAUUUACCAUUAUCAGAUGGAGUAGCCAAGGAAUGAACCGCUGAUUGAGACUGAAAGAUAGAGAGAUGCAGAAGCAGUAUAGCAGCAAUUGUUGAUUUCUCCAUGUUCUGAAGGCCAAAUGAAGUAACUUUUUCCCCUGAAAAACUGUUGGAAUUUUAAAAGGUUUUAAAAAUUUAACCGUUUUAUUUAUUUAAUUAUUUUGGCUGUUUUAUUUUAUUUAUUGUGGGGGUUAUAUAUAUUUAAUAUUCAAGUUUUAUUUCUGGUUGGUGAAAGCCUUAAUUUUUUGGUUGGUGAACUUUUAUGGUUGGUGAAGGUUACAUGUUUUUAGAUGCCUAUAAAAGGUCACUCCUCCUUCACAUUUGAUACACACAAUGACACAUAAUAACACACACGAUAUAUACAAUACACUAUCAGAAUAUCACAUACACAUUCUAAUUCUCUCCUUUUCUACUUUUACAUAUAUUCUGUACUUUAUUAUUAUUAUUUUGGGCAAUGGUUAUGUGACUUGGAUACCUAUAUCUGUCUGUGAACGUGCUCAUAGCGGAUCUUGAGUUUGUGUAUAAGGGGUCGUAUCUUGGAGUCUUGUAGACCGUCAGUACCUGCACGUAGGGAGGCUACAAAGGCUUUAGGACAGCGUCUUUGACGUGCUUCAUCGUACCAAACUCACUUUCUUACUUAUUAUUUAUUUUCCUUUUACUUACCUAUUAUUUUGUUUUCUUCAAUUUUAUUAUACCUUCAAAAGUUUCCAAUUUGUUUAUAAGUUAUUUAUAAUAUAAAUAUUUUGUAUUUGGCUUUACGGAAAGAGGAAAACUAUUAUUUUUUUAUAACAAUCUAAAGCCUUUGUAAGUUAAAGUUGUUUUCUUCCCGUAUUCCUAGCUUUAAUAUCUUUUAACUCUUUGACUGAAGCUUUUGCAUUUGUAUUGGAUUUUCAAAAUGAAAAUUACGAUUAUUUUGGGUAGAUGCAGUUUGAAGCUUUCAUGUUGUCUAUACAAUUUCAACUGCUUUAAAUAUUGUUGGUACAUUUAUAUGUUUAUAAUUUGUUGCUAACGUUUGGGAAAUUAAUGCUAGUGUUUGAAAAUAAAAACCUACAGACUAAUUUAUGUGGUAUUAUUAUUAUAGCUCAAUGUAUUAUUAUUUUAUGUGGUGUGCCCGUUUUCUACAGUACAAUUGUUUUUAAAAUACAUUUCAGAAUCUUAAUAAUGCUAAUAGUAUUCAAAAGCCAAUUAAUUACCUUUGAAAUAAAAACAAAUUGAAGUGAUGUAUGUUUUUCUAAGCUACUGUUUGUUUUAAAUAGCUUGUAUUGUUUCAUUACGGAUUACUUUAUUAUUACUUAUUAAUCAAUUUACGUUGAAACAUCCAAUAUUGAAUGGUUGAAGUGUUUAAAACCGAAACGUUGAAGUGUUUCAAAAUCUUUGGUCUAUUUUUCCUUUUAAUUGAAAUUUCAAAGCAAGUAUAUAUAUAUUUUUAGAACAAGUAUAUAUAUUUGAUUUUAUUGUGUUGGGCCUUUUUACAUUUGCCUUCAUUCAUUUUGAUUGUCAUCAAUCUUCCUUUAUAUAAUGGUCCUUUAUAAUCAUUUUUUUAAAAUAUCGUUUUAUUGUUCUCAAUUGCCAAAAAGGUCUGCUCUACUUUUGGAAAUCCUUCAUAUAAACGUGAGAAGCAAUUAUAAAGUUUAAUGUUGGUUUUUUAUACACUAUCUUUAUGUGGUUUAAUGCAUUAUGAAGGAAUAAAGCAUUUUCUUUCAGCAGACAAUUAAGUUUACUUUUAUGGAGAUACAUUUGAUUUGAAUAUUCAAUUGUUGCAUCUUUCGCAAAUCUGUGUAGUAUACUACUUACUUUGGUUUCAAAUUCUUGAAAGAAAAAAGGUGCGAAGAGUUCUUUUGUAGUUUAAUUUUGAAUUCAAAAUCUAAUAUUACGUCAGUUUUAGAUUUGACCUAUUUGUGUAUUCAAUUUUUAUAUUGAUUCUUAUUUUCAUUUAUAGCUAUUAAUUUUUGCAAGAAUGUGCAGAGAGUUUAUGUGGUAUUAUUGCAAGUUUUAUUGAGCCUAAUUAUUCUUUAUUUUGAUGGCUGUCAUUGCUUUGAAUUUGGGAGAAAAACCUAUAGUUUUUUUUUGUAGUAUAAAUGCAUCACUUUAACACCUUGGACAUUAGCUCCUUUUGAUUCCAGAAUUAGUUAAUUGCUCUUAACUUCUUUUGGAAGCUUUUGCAUUUCACAUUCAAUUACGAGAUUUUAUUUAUUUUUUAAUUUAUGCAGCUUUAGUUUCAAAACUUUAAUGUCAAUUUCAUGACAUUUAGAGCUUUUAUUUUGGCAGUAAAAUUGUUGAUAUUGUUAGGUGAUUAUUGCCUUUAAUGUUCUGAACAUUUAUGCAAUUUAAUUACAUCUUCGUUUUAAUGCCUUGGAUUCCUUUUAAAGUUGCCAACGCCUAUAUAUUUCGAUUGUGCAAUCCUUCAUAUUAGUUUCUUGAGUUAAUCUAAUGUUCUUUUGAUUAUAAAGUCUUGACAGCUGCCACAUUGAGUUAAUUGCCAUGAAGUGUACAUUGUGGAAUCCUCCUGAGAAAACUGAAAUGAAAUAAUAAAUUAUAUCACUGUAAGUGGCAUUAAUUUUGAGUUUUGGUGUAAGGCUUUCAAACCCUAAAUUUUUGAGGCAUUUUUUUCUUUUGAGGCUUUCGAUGGUUUUGUUAUAUUUACAAUGACUAUCAAGAUGACUGUGAGUACAUAUCUUAUGAAUUUAAAAUUAAAUAAGUUUUGGUACAGUCUUCAUAUAUUUUGAGAAUUCCCUAAUUUGUGGGGGUUGAGUUUUUCCUUAACUAUGUGGGUAUUUGUUGGAAUUUUUGUGGGUACUUCAAAUACAAAAUUAAUAUCAAUACUUAUUUUUUAAAAUUUAAUAUUCCAGUUUUUAAGUGAUUUGAUUACCUCUUUAAAACUGAAGUUAUUUUGUACAUUUAUUAUAUAAGUUUUCAUAUCUCCUUUAUUCAGAUUUAUUCUAUUUUAAUUAACGCUUCAUGCUUAUGUUAUUUGCGUUUUGAUAAGUAUUAAUAUAUUUUUUUUUAAAACGUGUGGACCAAUUUGUGGAAGUUGAAUUUUCUUAAAUGAAAAAUUUAAUGCUGUAAUUUAUUUGUUAACAUUAUGCAGUUUUGCUUUUAUGUUGAAAAUAUUAGAUUCAUUUAUGUAAGCUUUCCUUCUCUCUUUCCCAUAUUUUGUGUGUUUUCAAUUUCUUUAUGUUCUAAUGGGAAAGAUUCAUUAUAUUCAUUUAGUGACAUAAUAAUUUUUAUAUUUCCUUGGCAAACAUGUUGUGUCCAUGUGAAAUUUAUUUUCAUUACAAAAUUUUAUUAUGAGACUAACUUGUCUUCAAUUUUGAUAUGAAAAUAUUUGCAACUAAUGAUGAUUUUGGCAUAAAAUUUUGGUAGAGACUUCUUAUUGUCUUAUAGGUUCAUAUUGAGAAUCGACAAGAUACAAUUUCAACUUGGAUAUGUGAUCAUGAUUUCAGCCAUUUGGAGUGCACAAAAGGGAGUAAGGGUAUCCUGAAAUACUCAGUGUUUAUAGUUAAAUUUAUUUAAUGAAUUAAUUGUUAUAUUGUUGUUCAUAAGUGGUAGCAGGUGUACUCAAAGUUUCAUGGACUUGAGACGUACUCUUGAUCAGAAGAUUUAAUGUAUGAUGUAUUUCCAUUAUACUUAACUGUAUACCAAUGCGUAUUUAAUUUCCUAUUAUACUUAGGUGAAAUCUACUAAUUAUUUGUGUGCAAGAUUGUGUAGGAAAUAUGUUAAUAACAUGCAGGUUUAAAGCGCGCUAAAAUGGAGAACAAAUACAUGACAUACAUUAUAUAUGCCUUGUGAAGGCUAGUUUUGAUAUGCAUGCCUCGUGGAGGAGGCUAUUAAUGCAAAAUGUCGAGGGGGAUGUGCUUAAGCCCAUAAGGGAGUCACCUAGGGAGGUAACCCAACUUCUGUGAUUGGAGAUCCCAUGAAGGAAGUUCAAUGUGGUAGAAACAAUCCAUAUUGCGUGACUCAUAUAGCACUCAUAAAACUAUGGAGAUAUCCUUGAGAUAUUCUUCUGCUCAUCCCUAAGGCAAAAGUGCUAUUUUAUGUGACGUUAGGAAGGGAUUUAUCCCUGAAUGAGUUUCGAGGCGGGCAAACUCCCGCAGGGUGCAGGUCACAUGUACUCUUGGAGAACUCACCUAAGUGGGAGACGUUGUGAGGCCGCGACUAUGAGAAUUGGGCUAUUCUCUAGUAACUCUCAUGAGAAUCAAGAUUAGCGCAUGGCCAUAAAUAGCGCUACCCCGCAUCCAAGUCUCAACUAAUACUAUGUGUGGGAUAUGUUGAAGUUUGGUCAAAGGUGCCGAGUUCAAUACUGUGUACACUCAGGUUCCUCAAAUGGAGACUAUCAUCACUAAGUGAAGGUUCAAGCCCGGAAGGCACCUACACCUAUUACAUAGUAUUAUAUUGCCCAUAUAUAUUAUAUAUUUUCACUGUUUUUUUUGUCACGGUAAAAUUUUGAAAACCUUGUGGGGGAUUGUUGGAAUUUUAAAAGGUUUUAAAAAUUUAACCGUUUUAUUUAUUUAAUUAUUUUGGCUGUUUUAUUUUAUUUAUUGUGGGGGUUAUAUAUAUUUAAUAUUCAAGUUUUAUUUCUGGUUGGUGAAAGCCUUAAUUUUUUGGUUGGUGAACUUUUAUGGUUGGUGAAGGUUACAUGUUUUUAGAUGCCUAUAAAAGGUCACUCCUCCUUCACAUUUGAUACACACAAUGACACAUAAUAACACACACGAUAUAUACAAUACACUAUCAGAAUAUCACAUACACAUUCUAAUUCUCUCCUUUUCUACUUUUACAUAUAUUCUGUACUUUAUUAUUAUUAUUUUGGGCAAUGGUUAUGUGACUUGGAUACCUAUAUCUGUCUGUGAACGUGCUCAUAGCGGAUCUUGAGUUUGUGUAUAAGGGGUCGUAUCUUGGAGUCUUGUAGACCGUCAGUACCUGCACGUAGGGAGGCUACAAAGGCUUUAGGACAGCGUCUUUGACGUGCUUCAUCGUACCAAACUCACUUUCUUACUUAUUAUUUAUUUUCCUUUUACUUACCUAUUAUUUUGUUUUCUUCAAUUUUAUUAUACCUUCAAAAGUUUCCAAUUUGUUUAUAAGUUAUUUAUAAUAUAAAUAUUUUGUAUUUGGCUUUACGGAAAGAGGAAAACUAUUAUUUUUUUAUAACAAAAACUAGGAGAGUUUCAUGGCUAUUUGUAGGUGAAAGUUUCUACUUAAGGUGUUAUCGGUGUUACAAUAUGGUACUUGUCUUCAUUAUUGUGUCGUUUGAGUGGCUUUUUUUUUUUUCCUUUUGUAGUACAAGCAAUAGUAUAAAUAACAAGGGGUUUUGGGAGUUCGAAACCAUCACUUCUAGAAUUUUAACCACUCAAGCCGCGUUUGAGCAUUGCUCGAAGGGCUCGACAGGUUCACAAAGGGGAUUCAAGCCUAGGUCGAGAGGGCUUGAGCACUGCUUAAGGAGAGCUCGAUUGGCUAUAUUCCUAUAUAUAUAUAUAUAAAUUAAGGUACUUUGGGUGUAUCUUUACAACCUGCAGUGAAUUCAAUGGUAAACUCAGGAUUAUUAUUUUUUAAAUAAAGCUGGACUUGGAUUUUCUUUAAGAAAUUCUUUAUCAAUCAUCUUCACAUAAUUACAAAUUUCUGUGGAAUAAAUGUUGUUACAAAGAAAGAGCAUUAACUAACCUUUUUUAUUUGGGUAUUGCAUGAAGUAACCUUAUAGAGUGAGCUCCUUUCUCCGCCCCCAGUCGGGAUAGAGCGAUACUUUUUUGAUAAAAAUCAAGCUAAUAUAUAUAUAUAUAUAUAUAUUUUUUAAACCCGUUCUUCCGACCUGAUCCCUAUGUAAAUAUAUAUAUAUAUAUAUAUAUAUAUAUACACAUGUAAAAGAAAUAUGGGGCCCUUGUAUAGUGGCACCACUUGCCCAUCCUAAGAGCGGCCCUUCCUCCUACCGAGCCUUCAUUGGGUUCUAUAUCAUUAGCAAAUAGAAAGGGGUUGCGUUUACCUUAAUUGCUCAUGGGUCAUUUCAUUAUUUCAAGGACUCCAAGUGGUUUACUUUAUCAGAGAGGUGGGUGAUUAACAUAUUUUAUAUUAUAUAUUUAACCUCAUUCUUAGUAUAUUUUGGUUAAUAUUUUGGAAGAAUUUUCAUACUUUGAAUUAUAUUUCCAAUAUAGGACUUUCGACUCUCUCUGGAGCAAAACAUAAUCAAAUGGAGGAAUUUUGGAGUAAUUCCAGUUGAAGGACGUUCUUCAGUCACUUAGCUUGAUCGUAUCAAAAUUUCAGAUUUUUCUUCCAAGCGGUUAUUUUCUGGCAAUAAAAUAAAAGAGCAGUGCGCGGUGCUGGAAUAGUGAAGUAUUGGGCUUUUAUUGCGUUUUUGGAGCCCAAGAUGACCUUGGAUGGGUUCGUGGCCUUCUAGAGAAGUGUUCAGAACAUUUGUAUCUUUAAAACAAGCUAUUUUUGGCCAGAUUUGGAAGAGAUUUGGGGCCAAAACGUGGCUGGGAAGAUUUUGGGCAGAUUCUCCUAUUCUAAUUUGGACUUUAUUUCCUAGUAUUAUUUUAUUUUAAUUAGUUUCCUUGUGGGGAUAGAAAGGCUGUACAUUGGCAGCUAGAUUUUAAGGGGUAUUUAAGCUCUUUCUCACAAGGAAUUUAGGACUUCUUUUUCACUUUUGAACUUUGCAUUGUGGAGAGCAAUUGCUAGGGUUUUGGGUUUUCACAACUUUCAAGUGUUUUCGUUCUUUUCUUCUUAAUGAUAUUUUCUUGGAUUUCAAUUAUGAGUAUGCGUAACUAAAUUUAUUUUGCUAAUGUGAAGCCUUGAACCUUAGCAUGAAUAUGUGUAAUCGGUACUUAGGUGACGAUGGGUAAACUUAAAAAAAAUAUUCAGCCAAAGGAUGCAACAAACUUCACACACACACAGAACAUAUCAUGAUCACUACUACAAAAAAGAAAAAAGACGACGGUAAAUCACCGUCGUGUAUUCGGUUUUUCAAUAGUCGUGGAAUCCACCGUCAUCUUUUCCCUCAUAAACCACGACGCUAAAUCACCGUCGUUGUUAAAAUAUACAACGUCAUCAACAAAUACAAAACGACGUCUUUGUACUGCAAAAAGAUCUAAAAAAGCAGUCGAGGAUGAGAAUAGACGACCAACUCUCUAAAAAAACCGUCGUUAAAAAGGAAAAAUAUGACACAUAUUAACAGAACAAGGCCGCAAGAUAGACAUACAACGACGAAAAUUAAAACAAGACGCCGUUAAAUAUCAUUUUCACGACAAUAAAAAAUAUGACGUCUUUAAAUACAUUAGAAGACGACGUUAUUGAUACCUACUACGUCGCCUAUAUAAAAACAACCGUCGUAAAAUAAAUUUUCCACUUCGAUUUUUCUAUAAAAGAUGACGUGGAAAUAGUUGUCAGUGUCAUUAUUUACGACGUAUGUAUUUAUAGAGUAGACGUUGAACAACGAAACAACGUCGGUUACAAAUAUAUGAGAGUCAUAUUACAAAAUUUAUACGUCCUAUUUUCAGAAACAAACAACGACGAUAAAUAUUAGAUGUUGUUAAAUACAACAACGUCGAAAACAAAUAAAAACAGACGUGUUUAGUCUGCUAAAGUUCUAAAAAAUAGUCGAGGAUGAGAAUAGACGACCAACUCAAACAAAUCACCGUCGUUAAAAGGGAAAAAUAUGACACAUAUUAAAAGAACAAGGCCGCAAGAUAGACAUACAACGACGAGAACUAAAACACUACGCCGUUAAAUAUAAUUUUUACGACAAGAAAAAAUAUGACGUCUUUAAAUACAUGAGAAGACGACGUUAUUGAAAUCUACUACGUCUCUUAUUUACAAACAACCGUCGUGAAAUAAAUUUUCCACUUCGAUUUUUCUAAAAAAGAUGACGUGGAAAUAGUUGUCAGUGUCAUUAUUUACGACGUAUGUAUUUAUAUAGUUGACGUUGAAAUGCGAAACAACGUCGGUGGCAUUUAUAUAGUCGACGUUGUAUUUAUAUGUAUUCAUUACUCACGACGCACUUAUUAAUAUAGACGACGUUGAACUUCUAAACAACGUCGGUUCUAAAUAAAUGAGAGCUGUAUUACAGAACAUAUAGACGGCGUUGAUUAUGAUGAGAGCGUAUUACAAAUAACGUCGUUUAAUUGAUAUUAGACGGCGGUUAUAAUGAAUUACCGUUGGAAUUCAUUUCGUUCCUCUUCGUUUAUAAAAGAACUUGCAACGUGGAAAAUGUAUGAUGACGUCGUAUUUUUUAAUGUUCAGAUUAUAUAUCUCGUUUUUUAGACGUCGGUAUUAUGGGAUUGGAGUCGUAUUAUUUUGAAUUACGUGGCGGUUCUUAAUCCUUCCCCGACGUGAUAUCCUGAAUAACUGCUUCACAAUAGCGUCGUGGUUCUUCAUUGUUAUGUUGCUUUAAGACGUCGGUAAAUAUGCUGAAUAACUGGUUCACAAUAACGUCGUGUUUUAUUUGAACGUAGAAAGUGAAGAAAUCACAUUACAAUAUAUUACAAAAUUAAUGUCAUACACUGCCAAUUACAUAAGCAUCAUUCAAUCCAUAUAUCUUCACACCCAUCUCGAAUAUUUUGACAACCUAACUCACCCACCAGUUCAUCAAAUGUGUCAACAUUUGGCAUCCCUCUAGUAAAUGGCUCACACUCAAUUAUCACAUCACCUAAGACUUCAUCACCAAUAACAUCAUUAUAUUCUCUAUUAGGCAUUGAUAACACUACCGACCAACCACGAUGCAUCGGGUCGUCAACAAAAAAUAUUUGUUUGACUUGAGAAGCCAAAACAAAUUGGUCAUUCCUAUGUCCAAUUUUACUCAAAUCUACAAGGGUAAAUCCAAGUUCGUCGACUACAAGACCAGAACUAUCUAUCCAAUCACACCUAAAGACUGGGAUUGUAAACGUUUGGUAGUCAAGGUCCCAAAUUUCUUGAAUGACACCAUAGAAACUCAUAUUUGAGAGAAUUGGGUUUUUAUCCUUGGCACUAGCAACUUGCAUAGUAUGUGCAAGUAAAUAAACUCCACUAUUUUGAGUUGUCCGCACAUCAUCUUGUGCCUUGAUAUUGAAUUUAAUACCUUUAAUAAGAUAGCUCCUAUAUAAUGACACUGCCAUGUUUGGACCAGCUGCUAGCCACCUUAAAUUUUCUGAUACGCCAUGAUUGUCUUCCUCAAGUUCACUUUGAACCUGCAAAUGAAUCAUAUCUUAAUUCAAUCUAACAUAGAAAUAAGAAGAAAAUUAAAAGAGAAAUAUGUUAUUCAACAACAUAUACCUUGAAGCGUAGCCAUUGAAUGAAAGUGCUAUUGUGCUUAUCCUGCAGCCACUUUGUUCUCUUUCUAAAUUUUGGAUAAGCAGUCUUGAUGUGGAUCAUAUGUUGCCUACAUGACACGAAAAAUUCAAGCAUUACGGUCCCAAAUAUAGAAGAUAAACAUAAGAAAUAAUUUAAAAUGGAAACUUAAAGAAUAAAACUCAUACGUACUCGAUAUAAGGUAGGACUUCCUCCGUAGUCUCCAAGACAUAUAGAUGUGCUUGAUUCAACAGGUCCUGAUCAACUACGCUCACUGUGCAACCUGAUAAUGGCUUUGAAAGUCCCAUCUUUUGGCUUGAAGGCACUCCAACUGUACUAACAUCAGAUAAAUGCUGAGUACAAAACUCUACCGCUUCUUCAGCUAUAUACCGCUCAGCAAUGCAACCUUCGGGACGAGUACGAUUCUGAACAUACCCCUUCAGCACUUUCAUAUAUCUUUCAAACGGAUACAUCCACCUAAAAUAUACUGGCCCACAUAGACGAACUUCUCUGACAAGAUGUACUACUAGAUGAAUCAUGAUAUCAAAGAAUGAAGGGGGAAAGUACUUCUCAAGCAAACACAGAGUAACUACUACAUCUUCUUCCAACUUAUCUAGCUUGGAAACAUCAACAGUCUUUGCACAUAUAGCAUUGAAGAAGAAGCACAAACGAGUUAUUGCAUACCUUGCAGGCUUCUCCAAAACAGAACGAAUUGCCACAGGGAGCAAUUGUUGCAUUAAGGUAUGACAAUCAUGUGAUUUAAGGCCAAGAAGUCUUGAAUCUUGUAAAGAUACAAGAUUUUUAAUAUUUGAAGAAUAACCUUCAGGGACCUUCAUACCAUAGAAAGAAUUGCAAACCUCUCUCUUCUCUGCUCUUGACAAAUUCCAAGGCCCAGGAGGCAAACAAGUACGUCUUUCUCCAUACUCGGGUUGCAAAUCAGUUUUGACCCCCAUGUUCAAUAAAUCUAAUCGAGCAGCAAUCCCAUCUUUUAUUUUUCCAGGGAUCUCCAGUAAUGUACCAAUGAUACUAUCGCAAACAUUCUUCUCAAUGUGCAUAACAUCUAGGGCAUGCCUCACAGGAAGGUAUUUCCAAUACUCGAGAUCAAAGAAUAUUGAUUUCUUCUUCCAACAAACUCUGUCACCAUUUUCAACCAUAUGCAGCACUUCUUCUCCGGUUAAUGGCUUGGGAGGUAUGCCAUAUUCAGGUUUCCCAUUAAAAGCUGCACGUUGCCUCCUAUAUGGAUGAUUGAUUGGUAACCAUUUUCUAUGCCCAAUGUAACAAAUUUUGUGGCCAUUUUUCAACCUGUGACUAGGUGUAUCAUCGCCGCAUAUUGGACAAGCUUUAUAUCCUUUAACAACACAACCAGAUAAGUUUUCAUAGGCGGGGAAAUCAUUAAUUGUCCACAUUAAUGCAGCUCUGAGUGUAAAGUAUUCUCCAUUAUGUGCAUCAUACACUCCUCUAAUCCCAUCCCACAAAGAUUUUAAUCACAGACGACGAUAUUUUUCAUAACCGACGUAGUAUAUCUAUUCAACGACGGUAAUUUUACAUGACCGUCGUUGAUAAUACAAAAAACGACGUAAAAUGUAUGAAGGUAAUUUCUUCUUACAUUCUUCUCAAAUGCCAAGGAAGGAUCCAUGAUGAUGUCCCUCAUGAAGCGCAUCACAUAAUACCCGCAUUCGACACUGCUGGGUUGCUUUGGUGUGCCUGACAGAGUUUUCCAAAUUACUGCCUUACGGCCUAAUCUGGCUAUGUGAGAAUUAUAAAUUUUUAUAGCACUGUUCACGAUGUUUUUGGCCUCUUCAUCGACCACACGAUUUCCUGGCAGAAGAUCCAGAAAAUAGACGGUUUCCCUCUUUGCUCUCACAAUCAGCAAGAUCCAAUGACGGCUGCACAAAAUUAAUAUAAAAACGACGGUUAUUUACAAAAACGACGUAUUAUAAUAUUUCACACGACGAAAUAAAGUAGCAAUCGACGACAUUAUAUAUUUAUCACGACGAUAAAUAACUACCGACGUGGUUAGUAGUUUCAAACGACUCAAUAAAAUAAAACACCGACGUGGUUAGUUUAUACGCUGUCAUUUAUUGAAAAUCAUAAAAACAAAAUCCUGUUAAGGAGACUAACCCUGGAUUGUAAGGCAUCAUGAAAAUCUGUUCACCGUCAGUCCUCCGAAGUCGAGCUGCUACCAGUCGUGAUCUGUCAGCUAUUGUGCCAGAGUUGGCACUAACUGUAGCAGGGUCGAUAAAGCCUACCAUGCUGCACAUAUUUGCUUGUUUCAAAACAUCGUGUAAGUACCUAAAUAUAUAAAAUAAUAUAAAUAAGUCAGCAUAAAAAAACACACGACGGUUAUGUAUAACAAAACGACGUAUUAUAAAAUUUCACACGACGUACUGAAAUAGACAACGACGUUAUAAUAUAUUUAUCACGACGGUACAUACUAACGACGUGGUUAGUUAGUUAAGACGACGCAAUAACGACGGUACAUACUAACGACGUGGUUAUUUUAGAAUGACAAACCUCAUAUAUACGGCAAUGACCGUAGCUCCUAUUUCUUCCAUGCCUGCAAAUUGUGUAAUAUCUUCAGGCAGGAGGAAGGUAUCGCGUUCUAGACCAAACACCUCCUUAUCAAUUGUAAAGUUCAGGGUCUUAUCCUGAGGCACGAGUGUCGUUUCCACAUAACGACAAAGGGAUUUUAAAGAAGAUGGCGCCUCCAUAUUUGAAUAAUCAACAACUUCAAAAACCUAUUUAAAGAAAUAAAAAAAAUGACGUGGUAAUUCAAUAAAAACGACGGUUUAAGGAAUAAAAUGUCGUCUGAAAAGAAUUUAAACGACGGUGAAAAAACCGUCGUGGUGAAUAAUUUAUUACGUCUUAAAAAAAAUUGCGCCGUCUAAGUUGUAAACAAACGACGGUUUAAAGAAAAAUAUCGACGUCUGAAAUUUUGAAAAACAAGUAAAAAAGGCAAAGUUAUGUGAACAUACCUGGUCGUCAUGCUUUUCUUUUUCUUCUUUCUUCUCUUCAUCUUUUUUUUUCUUCUUCCUUCUCUUCAUCUUUUUUUUCUUCAUUCUUCUCUUCAUCUUGAUUUCCUUCAUUUUUCUGUUUUAAGUAAUAAAGAAUGUAGAGAAAGUAAAAAAAAUUAAAUUCAAACGUCGUGGUAAGACAAAACACAAGACAGUAUGUAAGAAUUAUGGACGUCUUAAAUUAUUAAACGAUGGUAAAUAGUAAACGUCGUGGGAUUUAUAUAUUACGUCGGGAAUGACUAACACCGUCGUCUAAAAACCACAAAGUUUUAAAAAUAACGACGUUUAAUGGCGUGUAAAACAAGUAAACUAAAUACGACGUGGUAUUGAAAUACAAACGGUUUAUUUUUAAAAUCGUCGUGGUAUGUAUUUCAAAUGACGGUUUUAUUAAUAAUAACGACGUCUAAUAGUUUUUAAAAAAACAGAGAAUUCAAAGUUCAGAUAUGUUACCUUUUCUUCCUGAUGUUUCCCAUUUUUGGCAGUAUCAUCCUCAAAAUGUAGGGAUCUCACAUCACCUCCAGAGCAGCUUGCUUUGUCAGACAUUGGAUUUUUGGGACUUUGGCUAAUUCUUGGUUUAAGCAUGCUUGGAUCAAAAUUGGAAAUUAAUUGGGAAAGCUGACUCAGGAAAUGCUCCCUCUCAGCCUCUACCAAUUGUUUGGUUCUAGCCUCCAUCCUUAAAGCCUCUUCCCUUGCCUUAGCUUCCAUCUUUUUAUUCUCUUCUUGAAGGAGAACUCUUAAACUGUCCUUUAAACGGUCGUCAAAGCUCAUCCUCUGUGGUUUGGGUAAAUUGAAAUAUUGCCUUGGGGAAAUCCCAGCACCUACCCCUCUCACUCUGCCUGGAUGCUCAGGGCCCAAAGCCAUGGUCAGCACAUCAUUGCUGCCAGAUACAGUGACUUUGCCUUCCGAGACUUGUUUUUACAAUUCAUCCUAAAACAAAGAUAUAUAAAAAGUUAAGAACAAAAAACACACGACGGUUAUUUAUAUACAAACGACGUAUUAUAUAAUUUCAGACGACGCAGUAACAUAUAAAUCGACGUUAUUAUAAUUUAUCACGACGGUAGUUAUACCGACGUGGUUAGUUUUUUAAAACGACGAAAUGAAUAAACCAUCGACGUCUUAUGCUUUAUUUACAGAUAACAGGGGGAUGAUUCAAUAUUCACACCUUUAACGACCUUGUUUAAAAUAUUUCGACGUAGUAAUUUAAUACAAACGACACGAAAAUGAACCACCGACAUCUUAUGCUAUAAUUACAAAAAACAGAGUAGUGAUUCCUGAUUCAGACCUUUAACGACGUUUUUUUAAAAAUUUCGACGUGGUAAUAAUAUCAUUCACACGACGCAAAAUAUCAUUCAUAUAACAUAAGACGUAAUAAGAAUUAUUCACAGUUUAAUAAAAAUUUAAAACAGAGUGAGUAGGCUUACAAUUAAUUUUGCUUUCUCUGCCACCUUUGGAUCCGGGAUGUUACCAUGUUUGUCCUGUCUAGCUCUCUUCCAUAAAGUAGAUCGAUCAAUUUCUACCCCAGGCAUAGUUUCCUCCAAUUGAUCCUCCAAACCAGCAUAUCCUUUUCGAGACAAUCGAUGAUUGUACUCAAGUUUCUCCCUAAUCUGUGCAUGUUGAGAAUGCACAGACUCAAAAUCUUUGGAUAACCUUGAAGCUACAAAGGCAUCCCAUUGUGCUUUCUCUAUGAAUUUAUAUGUUUCAGGGGGUUGGCUUAAUCUCUCCCUGUCAUUGGUGUAUGGAAGGAUAUAAUGCCUCAUUAGUGUAGACUUGAAAUCCUUCCAUUUCUUGGCAGCAGAAGCUAACACAGAGUUCUUGCCCCCUUGACCUACCACAAAAGCAAUGUCAACUGCUUCCCAAAUCUGCUCCUUUAUAUCCUUGGGGAUUUGAGCCCAUUUCAUGUCCACAAGUGGAACUCUGGAGCGUGCCAACACACCAAUGUAGGACUGCAUCUCACUAUGUGCUUGGCCAAUUCCUUUCCCCCUUUUAUUGUACUCAACAAUUGGCCUGAGUUUCUGAAGUUUUCUCUUCACAACACGAGGCAUUGUGCUCAUACCUCGACCAGACUUUGAAUCAUCAGAGAUUGUUGUCGUGCUGGUUGGUUCUGUCUCAGCAGAUGAUGAAGCAAACUUCAUCUUCUUCGAAGACUUCAUCUUUUUCGAAGACUUCUCUUGAGGAGUUACCAUUCCAAGCUCCUUACCUCCAUUUUUCUUGGAGCCAGAGUCCUUACUUUGGUCUUGAGAAACCAUUUUUACAGACAAAACUGCAAGUGAAAAUAUUUCAGGAAAAGAUUAAGAACACAAACGACGGUUAUUAAUAAAAUACGACGUAUGAUAUGAUUUUAAACGACGCAAUGAAAUAAUCUCAGACGUAAUAAAUGUUUAAAACCAAGGUAAUUAAAAAACGACGAAAUAAUAUAAAAUAAGACGUAAUAAUAACUUCUUACGUCGAUAUUUACCGGACGACGUGAUAAUUAACUAUAAACGACGAAAUAUUUAUAUAACAUCGUGGUAUUGAUGUUCACACGACGUCAAUAGUAAUAUACCGUCGUCUAUAUAAGGAUCCAAAACCCUUCUUUCUUUCUCUGUGAAUGUUUGAUUGCAGAUUUGAUUUUUCUAAACCAUGGUUUUUGUUUUCUAAUUUGAUAAAAUACAAGGCCAAGAAAGAAAGUUUUGGAAUCUUAUAUAGACGACGGUAUUUUAAUAUGACGUCGUGGUAUUAACAUUCACACGACGUAAAAUAAUAAGAUAUUGUCGUCUAUAUUAGAUACCAACCCUACUUUCUUUUUCUUUAUAUUUUAUCAAAUUAGGGAAAAAUAAAAACCAUUGUUCAGAGAAAUCAAACCUGCAAUUAAACAAGCAAAUAAAAAAAAGACUAUAAUUUUAAAAACAACUUUGUCAAUUUUCAGACGACGCUAGAACGACUGACGAACCGUCGUGGUCUACAUAUUUAACCACGUAAAUAAGAAGCUACCGUCGUCUUAUUUAGUUGAGGUAGUUGUCUUCAAAGUUGGAAACUUUCCCUCUUUGUCUGUAUAUUUUAUCGAACUUGGAAAGAAGUAAAAUGAUUUUGGCCAGAAAAAAGGUAAAAAGAUUUUUCAAACAAAAAACGUAUGAGCAUGCAAAACAGCAACCAAAAUAGUGAAAAUGAAAGCUUACCUUUUGCGUGCAAUGAAAGCAAGAGGAAGAUUAUGUUUAAGUUCAGAGACGACGAAGAAGACGAGAGGAAGACGAUGAGAUACUCUGACAGUGCUCUGACAAGGAAAAAAGUCUAAAAGUUUUCUCUGGGAGAUUGAAAUUUUUAAUCGGGUUUGGAAACAGCGCAUGUGUAAGUCAGGUAGACGAAAAGUUGCUUACAUAUAAAACCAUUUCAAAAAAAUAAUACGGCGGUUACAUAUAACUACGACGUAUAAAUUACAAAAUACGACGGUACAUUUAACUUCGGACGUGGUAAAUAAAUACGACAGUAGUGUUGUAGGUACCGUCGUAGUAAACUCAAAAAUUAAAGUACAUAAGUAAUAACUCGCGUCAUGGUAGAUUAUUUAACACGUCAUUUUUAUUAAUGUACCGACGUGGAUUUCUGUAAUAUACGUCGGUCAUACCGACGUUGAUUUUACAAUUUAAACGGCGAUUUUUUUGUAAGGACCGCCGUUGGUUUUAAAAAUUUAUCCUAUAAAUUUGUCGCUUUCAUUCAUUUUCGGUUUACAUUUAGGGUUCCAAGUUCUUCCUCUCUCAGAGACACUGUCUCUCACGUCUCAAAGACAAUAAUUUGGAUGUCUUUCUCAAAGAGAAAUUGAGCUUACUCGCAUCAAAUAUAUGUCCACAAGAAGAAGCUUGUCAACUAGCCUUCUCACUUCCUUGAUCAAGCCUGAUAGGACACUUAGUGCUUCUGAAUACUCCUUGCUUUCCAUCAAAAGAGAUGCAAGCCUGGCCUCCACUCGCUGUCGAAGGAAAGUCUGCUUGAUUUUCUUGGCUAAGAAGAUCCGUCAGAUUUGUGAUAGCCUCUUCCUUUAUCCGUAGAGCUUCAGAAGAAGAAGAUGGGUUUCAAGAAUGCGAUAAAGAAUAGAAAUGGCUUCAGAUGGCCUCUAAAGCAUGAGCAAUCGAAUCAGUAGUUGCUGGGAGAUAUGAUGAAGACAUUGUCAAUGCUUUGAACAAUACAAGUCCUGCAGAAAGAUAAAGGACCAAACUGUUAAAGAAACUGAAACAACGGCGGUUUUCUGUUCUACCGUCGUCUUUUCUCGUCGUCUAUAUUAAGGUAAGAUGGCGGUAGAUUUAUAAUUACCGACGUAGAUUAUUUUGUUAAACGUCGUUAAGUGUAAUACAACCGACGUGGAUUGUAUUUUUAAAUUAUAAAUAGAGUUUUUUUUCCCGAAUUCUUUCAGUUUUAGUUUUCAAUUACAAAGCGUGAUAAAUAGAUUUUUCUUUCCCGAGAAAAUUUAAAAUGAGGGAAAUUCAUGUUCUAGAAUUUGUAAACUAACACGACGCAAUAUUACUAACCCGAGGAAAUUAUAAAUAGAUUGCUUUUCUGAAGAAAUUUUAAAUUAAUUCAGUUUGAAACAACGACGGUUUUUUGUUAUGCCGUCUUUUUUAACUAACACGACGCAAUAUUUAUUUUGCGACGUGGAAUCUUUUUAUUUAACGUCGUUAGGUUUAAUAUAACCGACGUGGAUUUGAAUUUUUAAAUUAUGAAUAGAAUUUUUUUUCCCGUGACCUUUCAGUUUAUUUUUCAAUUACAGUGCGUUAUAAAUAGAGUUUUUUUUUUCCGGAGGAAAUUUAAAAUGAAGGAAAUUAAUGUUCUGGAAUAUGUAAAGUUUCUUUUUUGGAUGACAGAUUUAAAUAAAAUAAGAAUAUAAAAACAACGACUGUUUUUGUAUUACUGUCGUCGUUUUUCGUCGUCUUAAGUAAGACUAAGACGACGUAAUAUAUUUGUUGAGCGACGUUGAUUUUUUUUUUAAACGUCGUUAGGUAUAAUAAAACCGUCGUUGAAAAUUGUCUCUCUGAUUGCAAAUUUGCAAUGACGUUAGGUAUAAUAUUUGUAGAUACACAAACGCACACACAUCAUCAACUUCCAAAAAAUUGUCUCUCUGAUUGCAAAUCUGUGUCAUCUGUUAAGAUAAUGAUGUGGAACAGAGUUACAUCUGGUAAGAUUUCGUAACCCUUGGGAUCUCAGACAAAUCUGAUUAUGUCGGCGGUUUUCUAUAUAAACCGUCGUGGUUAUUUCAAUUCUUGUCAUUAAGUAGAUCUACCGACGUAGGAUAAGAAAAUCAAAGAAAAAAAUUGUUAACAAAAAUUCUUAUUAAGACGACGGUUUAAAUUAAAGGUACGACGUAUAAAAUGAAUAAAUACGAAGUUAAAUUUUAUAGUACGAUUUAAAGAUAACGUCGUAGAACUAUACGAGAAUGACGUCGAUAUAUUUAUAUUUUCCGUCGUUGUACAUUAAUUUAAUACGGCGAUAUUUUGUAUUUUAAAGCCGUGGAUUUGUUUGUAAUUAUACGGCGUCUUAUACGAAAACCUCGUCGUGUUAUUUUAUGAGUAAAAACGGCGGUUUUUAUUGAAAUCGUCGUCUUUACUUUCUACGUCGGUCGAUUCAUAACUUCUGCCGUUCUUUGUUGGCUUUGAUUUUACACUGCGGAAAUCUAUUUCAAAUAGAGGUCGGUUGUUUAAUUAGGUACGUCGUUGUUUUUGAACAGCCAUUUGAAUCUCCAUUUUUUAGUUGUCUAAGGUGGUAUUACACGACGGUGUUUUUAGAACCGUCGUCUUUUUAAAAACCACGACGGUUUUCGCUUAGACCGUCGUUGUUUUCUGGUCGUCUUUUUCACUUUUUGUAGUAGUGGAUGUACCUGCAGGCCUAGAGAAUUACUAGUGACAACCUAGGCACUUAGAAGGACCCAUCAAUCUAGGCAUCCCCUGUGCUAGCAACAACUAUGGUGAAAGUGUGUGAAGACAGCAUAAUCAAGCAAACACCAAACAGCAGAUAAUGAUGACUAGUCAACCACCAAGAACACAAACCCAGAAAAUUACAAGAAUGCAAUCAGAAAUUGUUCACCCAGAAACCCACCAUUGGGAAAAACUGGGGGUCAUCAACCGACCAGGCAAUCCACUAAGUAGAAAAAGAUUCUUACAAAGGAAUACAAGCAAGCUCAAGCAAAACCUAGAUCUAUUUAGGAAGAUGAGCAAUACCUCCUUUGUGCAAUCUUCUUCUCCAACUUAGUACAGCUUGAAACCCAGUUCUUCAUGGCAAUGGCAGCUUCUUCUUCAGCUCAUUCAUCCCAUGGCACCAGCUUGCAAGCUCAACUCAAACAGAAACCAAAAUUUGGAUUCAAAGGAGAAUAAUCAAUUUCUUCAAGAAACCAUACUCUUGAAGAAAUCAAUAGUGAAUCUGAUCUAGAUAUAAAUGAGAGAAUGAUUUAUUAAGCUAGAUGCAGAUCAUAUUUCAAAUGCAGUUUUUUAAAUCAAUAUAGAAAAACUCAUAGAUGAAAAACUUGUUCUUUCUAGAGGAAGAAAAACGGAAAAAUGGAGAACACUCUUUCCUACAAUUCUUCACCUGAAAGACGGCUACCCAAAAAGGGAAUAGCAAGACCUAUACAGCCCAAAAUAUUCCCUUAGGUCAGAGACCCAUCUGGCAGCAGAGAGAGAAAGGAAUAGGGCAAAAAGGUUUGUUAUCCAGCUGGAGAGCAAGGAUGACUAGUCAUCCAAGAAACAGAUGACUAGUCAUCAUUUUAUGAAAAACAGUGUAAUGCAGUGUUAUGCAAUGCACAAUGUUUACCUUUGUCAAGUUGCAUGAUCCUCCAUAUGAUUGUUGUUAGUUAAGAACACCUAGAGAAGCUAUUCUCAAUCUAAACUUGAGCUUGAUAACAAUAGAAAUCCUAUUACAAAGUUGACAAGGGAAGCCAAAAGAAAAAUACAAAAUGCAUACAUUAACAAUCUCCCCCUUUUUGGCUUUCCUUGACAACACACUCUCUAACAACACUCAACCCAAAACCAAGCCUAAGAAGAUGAAGAAGAGAGGAUACCUGUAAGAACAACCAAUCUUCCAGGCACAAAAACAGGCAUAUUAUAUCACAGAAUUUUGAAACAAUAUGAAAUAUGGGGGUUGAGAGUGUUCUCCCCCUUGUUGAUAAGGAAAGUGCAAAAAGGUAAGGAGAGAGAGUCAUGCAUACAAGGGGAUUAAACACAAGGCAGAGAAACAGAUUUGAACAAAGUGAAAAGCACAUAACAUAGGUGGAUUACAAAGCAAACAGCACUUGUUCAAAAAUAAUACAACAGAGCUCCCCCUACCAAGAUGCACAGACUACCCAAGCAAAAACAAAAUAUCCACAAGGGGAUUACAACCAUAUACAUGUCCAAAAAUACUCCCCCUAUCUAGGACACUGCCAACAAGAGCACUGUAGCUAAAAAACUAGAGAAUCAUCAGACUCAUCAGAAUCUACAGAAUCAUCUGAGACCUCCGUGGCAGGAGUCGGCUGAGGAUGUACUUCAGCAGCAGCAGCAGCAGGAACCGAAGAAGAUGAAAUGAGGCUUAACAGAUGUUAAAUAUGUUUCUCCUUGGCAGCAAGCUGAGAUCUGAGAUAGGCAUUUUCAGAAGUAGAUGACACAGAGGAGAGAAAAGUUUUUGAAACUUUGUGGCUAAGGGCAACCGAGGCCUUGCCAAAUGGAGCAAUGGGAGGAUUCCACUGAUCAGAAUCAAGAAAAACCACCUGGUUUCUCUCACAGAGACGCUGGAUAAGACAGGGGAAGACAAGAGUCCCCUUGUGUUUUGUACCAUGACCUAUGGUUUCGCCAAGAAUUGCAUGAUAAAGAAUAUCCCCAAAGGGAAUUUUAUCAUGAUUCACCAUUAAAAUCAUGAGUUGACAGCCAGCCAGAGUGGGGUUUGAAUUAUUUCCAGUUGGGAGAACAUUGUGACGGAUAAAAUCCCAUAGAAAUUUGUAAAAAGGUGACAGAUAAGACUUGAUAGGGAAACCUUUAGAAGUCAGGGGCAUUGUUUGAUCAGUAUAGGCCAUGGUUUUAAACAGAUCAAUAGUGUAUUGAGAAGAGGUGUAACACCCCGACCCCAAAUCUCCCCAUAUUUUACCCUUAUUUAAUUAUUUAAUUAUUUAAGGGUAUUUUAGUCAUAUUUUUAACCGGAGAGAGUUUGGGACCGUGACUUGUAUUUUUGGAUAGGUCGUACUGAGACGAGUUCAUAGACACGUAGUGGGCUCGAAUCGGAGUUGUAACGAGAGAGAUAUGGUCAAAAGAAGCCCAGUGGCAUAAUCGUAAAUAUUUCAAAAUGGGAUUUUUUAUAAAAUCUGAUUUUUCUAUCUCUCUCUCUCUCUCUCUCUCUCUCUCUCUCUCUCUCUCUCUCCCGCGACCUCUCCCUCUCUCCCGUCAGCUCUCCCUCUCUCUCUCCUCACAACUCCAGCCACCGACCACGGCUGUGGAUGGGGCCGGUACCAAAAUGACCGGGGCGUCGUCCUCUUCCAGCCCAGCCGUCUCCCGCCUCCAGCCGCCGCGGUUUCGCCGGAAAAUGGAGGAGAAGCGGCCGGGGUCGUCCGAUCUUCGCCGCCGUCGAUCUCCCUCCUCCGGCCACCAAAUCCGACGAGCAAGGUAUGGUUUCUCACCUAUUUUUCAUGCUCUAGCUGCCUGUUGGGUAGGAUUAGAUCGAUUCUUAGUGUAGACAACUCGAUUUUCGAAUUGAAAAUCGGCCAAACUUCGGCCGCCGUGAUCGGCCAUUUUCGGCCACUUUUUGGGGUAGGUCCAAGAACAAAAGUGGCUCCAAAUAGGGUGUUAUACCUAGGGUAGGAGUUUGGAGCCGUGGUUUUGAGAUUUUCCGACAAAGCGUUAUCGCUUUGGGCACCCACGCGCUGCCGGCGCGUGCGGCGGCGCGUGGGCACUGUAGAAAAGUAGCAAUGUGUUCCGAUGAGAUCCUUAGGUUGUCACGAGUGCGUAGGAUUUUGCGGAUCUCAAUUCGAACGUCGUUUGACUAUCGAACGGAUAUUCGCAUAUUGUGCGUUAUCCGGGUUCGAUAGGUUGGGACCGUUGGAUGGUCCCAAGUUUAAUAUAUGUUAAUCUAGGUAUUUCUAGGAUCGUGUAGGAAUUCACGGAUCGUAAAUCGGAGCCCCGGAUGUUCCGAAUAAUAAUUUUAAAGUUUAUAUUUUAUAUUAACCGUCAGAUCGUGCGAUCGUGAGCGAUCCGACCGUCCGAUCUGAACCAAACUUGCAGGACAAGUGUCCUGUACCUGGUAGAACCCAUAGGGACUUUCUGAUCGGAAAUUGGAGGUCGUGGGUUCCGCAGGUCCGUUUGACCAGGGUUAGAGUAGUUUGACCCUUGGUUGACCGUGAGUCUCCCGGAGUAAUCUCACCUUUCCAAGGGAGAUUAUGGAGUGCUAUACGUACUACUUUAGGUACCUCCCCGGAUGUUGGAUUCACUACAAGUACCACCAAGUGAAAAUUAGGUCCCGCGUGGCGUAGGUUAUCCGGCGUUGGGACAGGCCCCAUCCGUGGCAUUGGUUGUACCGGCGUAUGGGGAGAUAUGUAAUAUGAUGUUCAAGUCUCACGUGGCGUAGGUUAUCCGGCGUUGAGACAGGCCCCAUACGUGGCGUUGGUUGUACCGGCGUAUGGGGAGAUUUGUGAUAUGAAUAUUGAGGUCUCGCGUGGCGUAGGUUAUCCGGCGUUGGGACAGGCCUCAUACGUGGCGUUGGUUGUACCAGCGUAUGGGGAGAUAUUAUGAUAGUAUGGCAUGGUCGCACGUGGCAUAGGUUAUCCGGUGUGUUGACAGGCCCCAUACGUGGCGUUGGUUGUACCGGCGUAUGGGGACAUUAUAUGAAAUCCAGAGAAAUGAAAUAAGGUAUCGCCCAAGUGUGGAAUUGGGUUCUAGGGAAGAACUACGUGUGGCUUGAUCCCUCAAGGAGGGUACGUAGGCAGCCUAAGGUUAUUAGGUGCAGCCGCAGACUAAAUAUUAGUCAUAAUUUGUAUUUGAAUUGUAUGGUGGUUGUUUGAGAAUUAUUGGAAGGCCGAAGGCCAUUUAUGAGAAUUUGCAUGAAAUUAUAUUGUGCAUGCUGCCAGUUGGGAAUAUUAAAUGCGUUUUCAUGCAGGUAUAAAUUUUGGGAAAUGUCCAAUUUAUCGGGGAGACUCUGCCGAAUUUUCGGCAGGAAGUCUCGGUUUUUAGUAUUUGGGCCUGGCAUCGGGAGGAUGUCGGGAAUUCCAAAGGGUUCGCCUCGGGUUCUGAAAAAUUCGGGGCGGGUCCUUUCAAGAGGCAAGGGCAAAUUGAUCAGAAUCAAAACCAGGGCAAGACUGAAAACCUAAAACCCUAUUAAUCACAGAGGGUUUCAGAGUAAUGGGCACAGAACGAACAACACACUGAUAAUUAGACCCCUUAGGAUCAGCAGGAAAAUUCUAGUAAAACUCCUUAACAACAGAAGCAUUGAACUUACCAGACAGAGUGUUGAGAGAUUGGAGAUGGUAGUGCUCAAAAAUCUGAGUUGCAGAACCCUGGGCCGCCAAGGGGAGAUCAUCAAGUUGGUAAGUUCUCUCAGGCACAAAUUUCCUCUUAGAGACAACACCAUCAAAGAACGAGGCCGCCUCAGGAGACACAAAUGGGGAGGAGUCUCCAGCGGGAACAGAGGGAGAAGAACGAGUCCUAGAAGCCCUAGGAAUGGAGGGCAUAAAAUCCGCUCUGUCAGUGGACUUGGAUUUGGAGCGACGCUAGUAAGUGAGGAAAGGCGCGGAGGACGACAUGGUGUAUAGCGGGAAGAGAACGGAAGAGAAAAAAAAUGCAGAGGGAAGAAGGGGCGAAAGGGACUAACACAGAGGGAGAAGGGGAAGCGAGGCUUGGGUCUGUGUCAGAAGAGAACAGAGAGAGAACGGGAGAGAAAAAGAGGACGAACAAAGAGGAGGGAAACAGACCUAAAGAAGAAAAAGAAAAGAAAAACGAAAACGGACCCCAAGAAAAAAAAUUAAAAAAAAAUAACCGCAGAAGGCGUAUCGUUCAGUGAGGACUUAGUCAACCAUAAGGAGCAUGAUGACUAGUCAACCCAGGCAAUAACAAAACACAAGCAGAACUAGAUGACUAGGCAACCAAAAGAAUGACGACUAGGCAACUAAGGCAAUACCAUGACGAGCAUCAAAUAUAACACAACCGGAUGACUAGGCAACCACAAGCAUAGAUGACUAGUCAACUAAAGCAAUAUCAAGAGACGCAUCAAAGAUAGUAUCGACCCUGUGGAAGACAAGAUUGUGGGUUUGGAAGAGAAAAAGAAAACAAACAUGAACUAGCAAAUAUAUCAAGUGAUCAACGAUGUAUUAGCUACUAUAGCCUAGUCCAAGUCUUCAAGCACAGGAAGGAACAGAAAGAGAAGAAAACCAGAUGUGCAAACAAAAACAAGUGCAACUAACUCUGACAGAUAGAAAAUGAAUUAGAUUUUAUGCUCAGAGAUAAGGCAAAAUGGACAGAGGAGGUUCAGAGCCAAAAGAGGAACACAAGAGAUGAAUACCCCUCCUGGAGAGACAAGUAUGAAAUAAACCUUCAAGACAAACUCAAGGAAUAAACCCAACCUAUUUGAUUUUCAUCACUCAAUCUGGACAUUUAUUAUUCUUGUUAUUUGCACAUCCCAGACUUAAGUGCUUAAGUGGACCAAUUUUGCGGCUCUUGCUCUAGAUUCUUCAAUCAUAACACCUUAUACCUUCCUAGAGUCGUGACUACAUUGGUCACACUUCCGUUUUGUUUUUUUUUUUUUUUGUUUUUGUUUUUUUUUGUUUGUUUGUAACAAAUUGCCUAAGAGAGUGAGAAAAAAGAAUAGGAGAUUAUAACAAUGAUUGUCCACAAUGAAUCACAACACUUGCCUCAACAAGAAGACAAAAGAACACCAAAAGAUUUCAUCUAAUGGCUCCAAACAAGAAAGGGGGAAUUAUGCACAAAUCAGGCAAAGCAUAAAAUGAUUCAGACUUCACACCAUCAGAGAUCAGAAGAAACAGAUGUUUUUUGACAUGUGCACACCAAGUAAACAAAAAUUUAUAUUUGACUAGUCAACUAAAGCAAAGAUGACUAGUCAACAGUUCUGCAAUGUGCUGAAGAUAAGGAACAGACAAGCUAAUCAAUCAAUUGAGCAAAGACCAAUGGACUGCCUAAGUGUGACAUGUUUCUGAAAGUCCAAGGCCUUGGUGAGUAUAUCUGCUAGCUGUUUUUCAGAGGGAACAAAUUCCAACGAUAGAAUUUUGGCUUCCACAAGAUCUCUAAUAAAAUGAUGCCUAAUGUCUAUAUGCUUAGUCCGAGAGUGUUGAACAGGAUUUUUAGAAAUGUCUAUGGCACUCAUGUUGUCACAAUAGAUGAGAAAACAUGAUUGAGCAAGACCAUAGUCUUCCAACAUUUGUCUCAUCCAAAGGAGUUGCGUGCAGCAACUCCCAGCUGCAACAUACUCUGUUUCCGCAGUGGAUAAGGAGACAGAAUUCUGUUUUUUGCUAUGCCAAGAAACAAGGUUGUUGCCUACAUAAAAGACCCCCCCGGAAGUGCUUUUCCUAUCAUCACUACAACCUGCCCAAUCAGCAUCACUAUACCCAACCAGACUGACACAAGUGUCAUAGGUAUACCACAAUCCAAACUCAACAGUCCCACUCACAUAUUUUAUGAUUCUCUUAACAGCAAACAAGUGAGACUCCUUUGGGUCAUUUUGAAACCGAGCACACACUCCAACACUAUAAGAAAUAUCUGGUCUACUAGCAGUCAAGUAGAGAAGACUUCCUAUCAUACUUCUAUAGAGAGUUUGAUCCACACUUUUGCCAUGCAAGUCUCUAUGAAUUUUAGCACUAGUGCUCAUUGGAGUUCUUGCAGAUUUUGCAUCCUCCAAACCAAACUUUUGCACAAGAUUUUUUGCAUAUUUUGAUUGAGAAACAAAGAUCCCAUCAUGGCUUUGUUUGAUUUGAAGACCUGAGAAAUAGUUAAGCUCACCAACAAGACUCAUUUCAAAUUCAAUAGUCAUGACAUGAAUAAACUCUUGAACAUGCAAAUUAGAGGUAGAACCAACCACAAUAUCAUCAACAUACACUUGAGCAAUCAAGACAUCAUUUUUGAACCUUUUGACAAACAAAGUUUUGUCAACUGACCCUCUAACAUAGUCAUUUCUUAGAAGAUGAGAGGAUAACCUCUCAUACCAUGCUCUAGGAGCUUGCUUCAAACCGUAGAGUACCUUUUUUAACCGAAACACAUCAUUUGGAUGAUGUGGAUCCUCAAAACCCUUUGGUUGUUCAACAAAGACCUUUUUAUUUAAAAUACCAUUCAAAAAGGCAGUUUUGACAUCCAUUUGAUAAAGUUUGAAUUUUAAGUGACAAGCAAUUGCAAGAAGUAAUCUAACUGAUUCAAGCCUUGCAACAGGGGCAAAUGUUUCAUCAAAGUCAAUGCCUUCCAUUUGAGUGUAACCUUGAGCAACUAAUCUAGCUUUGUUUCUAACAACAUUACCUUGCUCAUCAGUUUUGUUCUUGAAAAUCCACUUAGUACCUAUGACAUUUGUAUUAGUAGGUCUGGGAACAAGGUACCAAACAUCAUUUCUAACAAACUGAUUCAGCUCCUCUUGCAUUGCAAGAAACCAUUCACCAUGGUUCAACGCCUCUUUCACAUUCUUAGGUUCUUCUUUUGAGACAUAACACACAUGACUAAUCUCUUGUGCUAAUUGUUUCCUAGUUCUCACCCCCUGAUUAAGAAGACCAAUAAUGACACUAUCAGUUUGAGUGAGAGGGCUAUGAUCAGCAUGGGAGCUGUCAACUUGGACAGAUGAGAUGGAACUAGAGGUUGAAGGAGUUGACAGGUCAACUGGGACAGAAUUUCCGAAAGAUGACAGGUCAACUACAAGAUCCAGACCUGGAGAUUCUUGCACGAGAGAAGGAGAAAAAAGGCCAUCCUCAUCUAAUGCCAUCUCAGUAAAGGCAGCAAAAUCAUCAAUUUUGACAUUUAUGGACUCAAUGAUGGUUCUGGUCCUACAGUUGUACACUCUAUAGGCUCGGCUUGAAGUAGAAUACCCAAGAAAAAUUCCCUUAUCACACUUAGAAUCAAACUUAGCAAGAUGCUCCCUAUCUUUCAAAAUAUAGCAUGUGCUACCAAAGACUCUAAAAUAUGACACAUUCGGCUUCUUGCCUUUCCAAAUCUCAUAGGGAGUUUGCUUGGUACCAGACCUCAAAAAUACCCUGUUUGAGAUAUAACAAGCUGUACUUACAGCUUCAGCCCAAAAAUGUUUAGCAAGAUUUUUGCUAUUGAGCAUCACCCGAGCCAUCUCAACAAGAACUCUAUUCUUUCUCUCCACAACACCAUUUUGUUGAGGUGUAAUAGGAGCGAAGAACUCAUGCUUAAUUCCCAUCUCUUCACAAAAUUUCAGAAACUGAGAAUUCUCAAACUCAGAACCAUGAUCUGUUCUAAUUCUAACAAGAGGCAGAUGACUAGUCAUCUUCUCUUUUUGCAAAAGAUGACAAACAGACUUAAACCUUAGAAAAGUUUUAGAUUUUUCACGUAAGAAUGAGACCCAAGUGAAUCUAGAGAAAUCAUCAACCAUGACAAGAAUAUAUUUCUUUCCACCAAGGGACAAGGUUUGGAUAGGACCAACAAGGUCCAUGUGAACAAGUUCAAGGCUGACUUGUGUUUGAAUAUGUUUGACCUUCUUGUGUGACACUCUAACUUGUUUCCCCAAUUGACAUCCUUCACAAACAUGUUGAUCAAAUUUGUCAAGCUUUGGUAAACCACUCACUAACUCUUUCUUUGACAAUUUAUGCAAGUCUCUAAAGUUCACAUGUCCAAGCCUUUGAUGCCACAAGACACUUGUUUCAUUCACAACCUUAUUGCAAACUAUUUCUUUUGCAUCAUUGACACCAUCAAUGCAAUAGCAAUUGUCCCUAGACCUAGCCACGCUCACAAUCUCAUUACCACCUUUUCCAAUGAUUUUGCACCCAUGCUUGGAGAAUCUAACUUCUAUUACUCCAUCAUCACACAGCUGACUCACACUAAUGAGAUUGGAUGUAAGACCCUCAACACAUCUAACAUUCUUAAGCUCGGGUAAUCCAGGGAUACAAACAGUACCUUUCCCAACAACUUGAGACUUAUGACCUCCCCCAAAAGUUACAGUGCCUCCAUCAAAAGGACUGAGAGAUGAGAAGACACUUUUAUCAUCAGACAUAUGUUUGGAGCAGCCACUAUCAAAGUACCAAGAGUUGGUGUUUGAUGCAGCAAAAGCAUUUAGCACAACAAGACAUUUGGUAUGACCUUUUUCAACCCAAGUAGACUUAGGCACAAUAGGUGAACACAUUUUAAGGGAGACAAGUUUGGCAAUCUUAGUUACUUCUUUUAGCAAAUGAUCAACCUGAUCUUGCAAAGAUCUGGGAUUCUUUUUAGAUUUUGAAGACAAUUUUCUAGUCUUAUCCUUUUUGUACAUAUGACAGACUGGUCGAAUAUGACCAGUCAACCCACACCUGUGACAAGUUGGAACAAACUUAGGUUUCUUGACAAUCGGCUGAGCAUUAAGCGAAUCCAUAGUUGGAGUUUUUGACUUGACAAACCUAGUGGUAGAGCUAGACGAACUAGAAUCAAAAUGAUUAAAUCCAAGACCACCUUUGUCCCCAUGAGGUUUUCCCAUAGUCAACAUUUUGUCAAUUUUUGAGGCACCAAUGGUCAUAGAUAUAACCUUGCUUUUUGCUUCAUUCAAUUCACCUAGGAGCAGUUUGUUUGAGUUCUGGAAACCAAUGUUACUCUCCUUGAGCACAUUAACUUGAUUUUCCAGAUUACUCCUAAUUGACACAAGUGCAACAAAAUCUUUUUCUAGAGACACAGAUUUGUCACUCAACUCCUUUUUGGUCUCUUUUAAGAUGAGGAUUUCAUGUUGAAGUUCAUGGUUGUUGGCCUCAAGUUUGAGGCACUCUUCUUUCAAAGACAAUGUCUCUUUGAACAAACAAUCAUAUUUUCUUCCUAAUGACUCAUAUGACAGGUCAUCUGACUCAUAAUCAGAUUCAUCAGACACUGGCUGCACAGAGGCAACAAAAGCAACAUGUUGAUCAUCAUUAUCAGAGGAAGAUGAAUCCUCUUGAGAAACUUCACUUUCACUCUCACUCCAGCUAACUUUCAUGGCCUUGUCCUUUCCUUUGGAGUAUUUUUUCUGAUUGUUUGCGCAGUCGGCAGCACAGUGCCUAAUGCCUCCACAUGUGAAGCACUUGACAGAUUUUCUAAAAUCUUUAAUGAGAGGUUUGACAUCCUUGUUCCUCUCAUUAGACCGAUCAGUUGAUGGUCUAAAUUGUCUCUCACUACCAGAGCUGCCCUCUCUAGCAAACUUUCCUUUAUCCCUAAGAAUUCUCCUAAAUUUUUUGACAAACAAGGCCAUCUCAUCCUCAAAACCUGAGGAUUUUUCACUACCUUUCAGAGAGCAAUCAUUCACUCCUUGAAGUGCAACAUUUUUUGAUUUUUUAAUGUCAUGCUCUUCCAUAUUCAACUCCAUCUCAUAGGUUUUUAAUUUUCCUACGAGCUUGCCAAGCUUAAUUUCAUUUAAGUUUUGGACCUCCAUGAUUGCGGUUUUCUUUGCUCUAAACCUAGAUGGUAGGACAUGAAGGAUUUUCUGAACAACAAGAAGCUCAUCAAUAGGUUAACCGAGACUCAUGGCUUCAUUAGUGAUCAUCUCAACUCUCCCAUAGAACUCAGAAAUAGACUCAGUUUCAGACAUCCUAAGUUCUUCAAAUUGUGCAAGCACCAUCUGAAGUUUUAGAGUUCUAACUUGGUCAUCCCCUUCAUGAACCACCCUUAGUUUAUCCCAAGCCUGUUUUGCAUUUGGGAUGUGUUGUAUAUGUGAAAACUGUGUGCUAGACAAGGCAGUGACUAAGGCAUUUCUGGCCUUCUUGUUUGAAUAUGCAGCAAACAUCUCAGUUUCAGUCCACUCCGACCUAGGCUUGGGCACAACAUUACUCUCAACAGUCUUGACAGGAGCAACCCACUCUUUUGUGAGAUACUCACUUGCGUACUCAUCAAGAGCAUCAAGAAAUAUCUCAAAUUUUUCUCUCCAAGCAGCGUAGUUAUUUCCAUCAAAAUAGGGAGGGGAGUUGCAAGAUCCAGCAACUCGAUCCCGUUCCAUAGUGAGCACACCUAAACACCAAAACAAAUCCUAGGAUCUCUCUAUUUGUAUUAAGAGCUGACGCUCUGAUACGAAUUGUAAUCGGUACUUAGGUGACGAUGGGUAAACUUAAAAAAAAUAUUCAGCCAAAGGAUGCAGCAAACUUCACACACACACAGAACAUAUCAUGAUGUACCUGCAGGCCUAGAGAAUUACUAGUGACAACCUAGGCACUCAGAAGGACCCAUCAAUCUAGGCAUCCCCUGUGCUAGCAACAACUAUGGUGAAAGUGUGUGAAGACAGCAUAAUCAAACAAACACCAAACAGCAGAUAAUGAUGAUUAGUCAACCACAAUUCAUACGAUGACUAGUCAACCACCAAGAACACAAACCCAGAAAAUUACAAGAAUGCAAUCAGAAAUUGUUCACCCAGAAACCCACCAUUGGGAAAAACUGGGGGUCAUCAACCGACCAGGCAAUCCACUAAGUAGAAAAAGAUUCUUACAAAGGAAUACAAGCAAGCUCAAGCAAAACCUAGAUCUAUUUAGGAAGAUGAGCAAUACCUCCUUUGUGCAAUCUUCUUCUCCAACUUAGUACAGCUUGAAACCCAGUUCUUCAUGGCAAUGGCAGCUUCUUCUUCAGCUCAUUCAUCCCAUGGCACCAGCUUGCAAGCUCAACUCAAACAGAAACCAAAAUUUGGAUUCAAAGGAGAAUAAUCAAUUUCUUCAAGAAACCAUACUCUUGAAGAAAUCAAUAGUGAAUCUGAUCUAGAUAUAAAUGAGAGAAUGAUUUAUUAAGCUAGAUGCAGAUCAUAUUUCAAAUGCAGUUUUUUAAAUCAAUAUAGAAAAACUCAUAGAUGAAAAACUUGUUCUUUCUAGAGGAAGAAAAACGGAAAAAUGGAGAACACUCUUUCCUACAAUUCUUCACCUGAAAGACGGCUGCCCAAAAAGGGAAUAGCAAGACCUAUACAGCCCAAAAUAUUCCCUUAGGUCAGAGACCCAUCUGGCAGCAGAGAGAGAAAAGAAUAGGACAAAAAGGUUUGUUAUCCAGCUGGAGAGCAAGGAUGACUAGUCAUCCAAGAAACAGAUGACUAGUCAUCAUUUUAUGAAAAACAGUGUAAUGCAGUGUUAUGCAAUGCACAAUGUUUACCUUUGUCAAGUUGCAUGAUCCUCCAUAUGAUUGUUGUUAGUUAAGAACACCUAGAGAAGCUAUUCUCAAUCUAAAUUUGAGCUUGAUAACAAUAGAAAUCCUAUUACAAAGUUGACAAGGGAAGCCAAAAGAAAAAUACAAAAUGCAUACAUUAACAAUAUGUGAUUUUUAUUUAAUUGCUUAUGAUGAGUGCAUGCCUACUUGAAUUGUUAAUCAUUGUUUUAAACUAUCUAAUUGUCUUAAUGCCUGAUCACCAUUAGGAUCUUUAGAAAAGUAAUUGGAUGCAAUUUUGAUCGGAAGGUUCCCUGAAAUUGAUGCUAGCUUCUUGUGAUUAAUAAUUGUAAUUUCACUUAAGAUGAAUACCACGUCUUAAGGGUUGCAUGGUUUUUCAAAGGGUUUUCACAAAACUUAAUGAGUCUUUCAUGUUCAGAUUUGAUCCGAACAUCCGGACGGGUUGCAUGUUGGAUAUACGUUCUGUGUUGGAGGUUUCAAGUAGAAUAUACAUUAGGAAAACCUAACCUUCAAAGUGGCAUGUGCAAAUCAUAAAUAAUUGGUAAAAGUUCAUAGGAUUGCUAGGUGAUGGUGAAACCCUAGUGCUUUUAUAAAUUGAUAUUCAAAACUCUUUCCUUCAAUCGUAUUUGUUUUUAUUUAAUAUUUAUUUUUAGAAUCAACCAAAUUCAUAAUCAUCUUUCUUGACCUUUUAUUUUAAGUAGUUAUUUGGAAUUUAUUUUUACUUAAAUUGCUAAUUAGUCCUUGAGGAAAACGACCUUGCAUGAGCAUCCAUACUACAAUAGCCUUGUAUUAUUGUAAGUAUUUUAUGUGAUUUUAACCCUGUUUGCACAGGUACUAAAAAUCCUAUCAGUGGGCAAUAAUAUGAUCAAUAAAUAUGGUACAAAUAGCAUUAUUGUUAAAUUAAUAGGGAGGUGGUUGGAAUAUAAAUUUAGUAUCUCUUUCAAAAGAAGAUAAAUGCCACUAAAGUAAGAGCUAGAAGUGAGCUUUAGUUACCAGCUAACAUUCACAGUUUUUUACUAGACAACACAAGGAGUACUAAACAAAGCUAUGUAAAGUACGUAGAAAUUGGACAAAACUAAAACAACAAUAAAAGUAAAGCAAAUCCAAGUAUAAGUAAAAUUUAAGUCGGAUAUGUACCUGACCGAAGAAAGCACAAAAGAAACUGUGAGCUUUUAGAACAAAUCUUUCAUUGCCAAGGCAAAUGAUAUGUAUAUGCUGAAAUGAAGCUUUUUAUUUAUAAGCCCUCAUUUGCCUUUGGUGGCCGGGAGUCUUGUCGAUUUCCACCACUUGCUUCUUUAAUAAAUAUAUCGAAACUUCCUGGCCCAUGUCUAAAUUAUAGCUCAUCUAUCAAACUGAAUAAUUGAUGAUGUGAUGGGAAUAAUUGAUGAUGGGAAUAAGACUGGAACAAGAAAUAUUGUCAACAAACUUUCUGAUCCAUUACGCAUUUGAUCCACCCAAAGUAAAUUACUCACGCUAUUGUAAAUAAACUGUUACUUGUGGUAAUGUAUGACAAAUUGAAUUUGAUGAUAAGCUUGUUUGACUUUUAUCUUUUAAGUUGUGACAUGAAAAUAGCUAUGGUUAGGAAAUAUAUGUUGAUCAAUAUAGUUAAAUAAACUACGCGCAUCUUGGGACCCCAUCAAUUGGGAGAAAUUUUGACUUGACUGAAAUUUUAGUUAAAUGUGGAAAUAUUUGCUUGGUUUGUCUAUAUCUCAAAUUGCAGUAAAAAACUUUAGAAUCAUGACUUCUGUAUAAAAAUAAAAACUACAAAAAGGGAGCUGAUUUUCCCAUUUCAUUUUUGUUCACUUUACCCUCUCUUUUAAUUUUUAAAUAUUUUUUAAUCAAUUUUAUUCCUUUUUAUUCUUUCUCUUUCAUAUUUUACCCUUACUUUGAAUUAGGAUUUUGAUAAUUGAAAUUAAGAAAAGUUAACAUAAUAAAAAUAAAUAAAAAAGAAGUCUCAGUGUCUUCUUCAUCGUGUCCUUCCCACUUCUCCUACCCAAAACUACUCUCAGAGAAAGUCAUGAAAUAGAACGAUACUUCUCCUACCAAAAGCAAAUACUCUUUAAUUAUUGGCGAAAGAUUUAGGGAUAUGAGGGCCUUUGGCAAAUACUCUUUAACUAUCUCUCUUCCCGAAGAGAAAACUCAAUCCUUUCAAUUAUUUAUGCAUCUCCCUGAGACUAUUUUACUGACUUUGACAUCACAGGGUCUUUGGUCAACACCCCCCGGAUAUGUUCCAUUCAGGGACAGACCUUUAGUUUGGCAAACCUGGGCUAUAACCUAGGUAGCUUCUUUUUUCCAGCCUAACCUUAUCUAGGUGAGGUGUGGGGGAACUCACACACAGCACGGCAAAAGAAAAAAAAAAGAGAAAAAAUAAAAUAACUUACACACAGCACGUAGAAAAAUAAAAGAAAAAAGAAGAAGCACUACCCUACCCUUGCAUGUAGAGGAAUAAAUAAAAAAGAACGCUCUUGUUGCUGCUGCACUUACCUUCAAGACUUAAUUCAAGUGAACCAAGUUUCUAUGUUCAUGUAAGCUUCUCUCAAUUUCUUGAUGCGUUAAUUUGGGGAUUUUUUGGAGUUUAUAAAGUAUCAAUUAGGAUUUGCAAUUGACACUUAUGAAUUAUUAAUUAGGAUUUGCAAUUGGGGCAUCAGUUUCAAUUUAUGAGUUAUGAAUAGGAUUUGUAAUUGAUUUUAUUGUUCUUGCUGUAUUUUUUUUUUUUUUUGGUUACCAAUGAAAUCACAUGGUAUUGUUGAGUUUUCUAUCUACUUAAUACCUAAAUUUAGCUCAAUCUAUUUUAAAAUCCUGAAUCUGUCCCUGAUUCUAUUAACCGUAUCUAUUUUGCAUAUCAUUUUAUGGGUGUUGACAACAGGAGAAUUGCUUCACUAAGUCCCUUGCCUGCAUUUUUCGGGUGUGGAUUAGAGUAGCCUAAUGGUUGUAAUGUUUUUGGGCAGUAUAUAUGCAUGUAUUUUAUUCAUUUUCCCAUGUGCUUGUGCUGCUUGGCAACCAUAGAGAUGCAUGAACAUGUGGGGUUGUUGAUCCCAAUAGUAGAACUGCAGUGUUAUUUGAAAUAUGCAAAUUUGAUGCAUUGGGUUUUAUGCUUAGGAGUACGAUUAUUCUCUAUAAUGAAUUGACGAAAAAUCCCUGAAAUUUAAUAGAAAUUUUAACGGAGUUAGACGUAAGUGAUAAAUUGCAACACUUUACAUAAUAUAAGUGAUUAAAAAUAAAAAUUAAAAAUUCAGGUAAUAUUUAUGUAAAUUUUUCAAAAUAUAAAUACAAAUCCACCUUAGAGUUACAAAUUAUUAUAUAAUGGGCCCUUUAUAAAGUUUACCAGUAUUUUUUUUGGCAUGGCACUCAAUGGAGGUUCUUUAUAAAUAAAAAAUAAUAAUAAAAAAUAAAUAAAUACUUUUUUUUCUUUUUUCUUCUUCCAUUGAAUUACGAAAACUGCAGCUUCAUAAUUUUGGUCAACGGAUCAGGCCCACCUUGCAUAUCUAAACGACCUCUGCCAAACUUUAUCUGUAGCUUGUAUGUGUAUUCCAGUAAUUAAUUCGAUAACUCAAAUGAUACAAUACAAGUAAAUAUAUUCAGUAAGAAAACACUACACAAUUGCUUGUAUCUGUAGCUUGUAUCUGUACAAGUAUAAUGGUGAAAUUAUUGUAUGGUACAAAUCAUCACCUUAUUCAGUAAGAAAACACUACACAACUGGUUUUAUUAAUUAUUGUAUGGUAUAAAUCAUCACCUUAUUCAGUAAGAAAACACUACACAACUGGUUUUAUUAAUCUUCCACCUUAUUCAGUAGGGCAUGGUGAAUAACAUGCCUUGUUCAGUAGGGCAUGGUGCUUAUCUUUCUUUCAGCAUCUUAACGCCAGUAUACCUGCCCAAAGCACAAAAAUUGAAGGGAAAAAUAAUAGCAGCUUAUCAGAUUUCAUCACGAAAAACCCAUAUGACUAAUUAAUUUCUGUUUCGGAGGAGUUAUAUAGUUGAUCAUUCCAUCCAAACAAAUGCUUAAAUAAAUGAUUAAGUGUGGAUAACAUACCUUCCUAACAUCAUAACAGUGGCCUGAGGAUUGGUCCCUGGUGAGAACUUGAAUGUGGAUCCAUCAACAACACGUAAGGCAUUGAUCCCCUUGACUCGUAAAUCCCCAUCAACCACCUUUCCCACAAGGCAUCCCCCAUGGUAGUGCCAAAAUGUGGCUACUGUCUCUCGACAAAAUGUUUCCACGGAUGCGGUAUCUGUAAGGUUCUUUGGUAAUGGUGGUCCGAAAAAGUUGAAACCAUCUGUACCAGGCAAAUCUUGAACCUUAAAUGGCUUCAAUGAAUUUGUGCUUAAUAAAUCACCAAUCUUCCUU